AACAGCGUGGUGGCAGCGUUGCCGCUGCCGCCGCCCAGGCCGGCGCCUGGGAGGUGAGGGCGACACGGGGACGCCAAUGCGCGGCAGGUGUGGGCGUGCGCGGGGGGGGGGGGAGAACGAGGCGCAACACGUGGGUGGCGCUCACCUCUUCGCUCAUGCACGUGCAGCCUGGUUAUGAGUACAGCCCGAGUCCCACAAACAUGUAUGUGCCCCUGCCCGCCGGGCCUCACCGUGCGGCACGCGCUUGUGCAGCUUGACCUUAUAGUACAUGGUCUGCAGCGUCUUGCGCCGGUACAGGUUCAGCGCCUGCACCCGGUGCGGUGGUUGUAUGAGGGGCGUGAAGGCAGUGGGGAACGGGUGUACAAAUGCGGGAGGAAUGAGUACCGUGUUCAGGCGCCAUGUUGCAAGUAAAGGUCGAAGAUGGCUGCUUCUUGGCAGCGGCUUCGCCAUAGCAGCCAAUAGCAGGCUCUGCGUAGAUGUGGCCUUCGUACCCCGCGCCAGGCAGCCUUGGCCCCGCAGUGAACCGCACACGCAACUUGAAUCCCUCCACACACGCAUGUGCCGUCAGGUACGCAUCCCAAGUUCCUUCACACAUGCCACUGCCAUUCCGUGGCUGACUCACUUUGAUGACCAGGUUGGACUCGUCGGUGGGGAUGGUGGGGUCGGAGCACUCCAACGUGUCUUGCAGCGCGUGAGGGGUGGUCUCGAACUCCAUGUAGUCACCCAGGUCAAUCACCUGAGCGUAUGUGGCACCAGCACCAGGUGGGUUAGGUGCAGGGGCAGGAGCAGGGUUGGUGGGCAGUGGGGGCACGCAGCUAGGGAUGGAUCCCUAGCUGCGGGAGGCCACUGAGGGUGGCGGUGCCGCGAUGGCGUGCCUCACCGCGGCAAGCAGCCCACCACCGUGUGGCCGCGUGGCCGGCCGAGACGCCCCCCACCCAUGUCAGUGCCACUGGCACAUGCCCAAGGAGCCUUUGCUGGCUUACGUGGAACAGCGACGCCAGGUCAUGGUACCCAUCCUCACGACGACGAACGACACGCAGGAACAGGUUGAUCUGCGGCAACCAGACCCAGGCAUACAUGCGUAUCAUAUCUAAAACCACUGUUUCCCGCCACCGCUCUGCCCACCAGUGGGGAGGAAGCAAGGCAAGCAAGCGCAUGAUGGAUGCCGAACCUUUGAGGGCGAAAAAAGCUGGACCGCGUUAGGCUUAUAGUUCGCGUGAACCACAACUGCUGAUGUGCGUCUGCGCGCGCCCGCAAUUCGAGCAGGGGCAACUUUCCGUGCAAGCGAACUCGUCCGCGAGACGCCACGCUGGGCAGCUCCUGAUUGUAACAUCUUCACGCUCAAGGUUAGAUGUACUUGAUAUUUGAGUGAUCGGGCGGAAAUGCUCUGAAACAAGGACAAAGCUCUGAGCAGGCGUGUCUGCUUGUCCUAACGAAUCCCGCCACUUUGUUUGAACUUAUUGAAUUCUAGUAAUCCAUGGCUCGGCAAGGAAAUCCGUCAGAAGUUUCAUGCAUGGGCUGGAUGGAAGUUUCGCUUUGACCACGCUGGAGCCAUGUCGACAGGUUUGAUGGUCUUUAAACUGUGCAGAAUCAAAUUAUUACGACGUAUCAGGGCAUUUCGACUGCACCCACUGCACAUACUUUUGUGUUUCGCUGUUUCCUGGGCUCAAUUGCGUCACAACUUGUUAUUUCUAGUAAACUAAGAUGAGUAGCUCGUUUUUGCUGUCAUCACUUUGCUCGAGAGGCGCCGUUUCGACGGCGUGGACCUCCUCCUCAGCAUGUGCGCCGCCGGCGUGCACCUCUCGGAUGGUGCUACGGAGCCGCGGUAGGUGCCUGUGCACCUAAGUUAUCUCGUUCGGGAAGGCGGGAGGCGGCCGCUGCGAUUGCCACUUCGCCUGAGCUCGGAAGUGGCCGUUCGCGUGCCUGUGGCGGUGGCACUGCGGCCCUACGCCCACCGGAUCCUGUGCGUGCCGCUGCAUUGCUUCAAGUACCCGCUUACCCUUGCUAUUUACAUACCCCGCGUGCAGCUGUUGCACCCCAUUCCGCACAGCCGGUGCAGCACCGGCGCGGACGCCUGGAGGUGGUCUGCAUGGUGGGUGCCGGCCGGACAGCAGGGAUGGCUGCCAUAUAAUACUGUAGCCCCGGAUGCCCGUGGACCAUUGUUGAUCCAGCUCUAGACAAAGUGCAGCCCCAUUCAGCCUGCUCUGGACGGCCGGACCUGACAGCAGCUCUCGAUUCUGCGCCCACCACCGCACAGGCGCACCCCCGGCGAGUCGCCAAGGUGGCCAGUGCCAUCCAGCGCGAGAUUGGCGACAUGUUCGUGUCAGACCCGGUAAGAACGGGUGGGAGUGGGGAGGUAAGGAGGCACGGAAGCUGAAUGCAGCCCCAGAGGGCUGGGGUGUGCUGUCAUGGACCGUGGGAGUGGGUGGUAGGGAAUCGCAAGUUGAGGGUCGGGAGCCUGGCAGCAGGAGGCAGGCAGAACCAGCUGCCCGGCAAGGGAGAUGCCUGGGCCCUGCGGCUGGCUGUUUCCGGGCAGCCUUCGCGUCUGGGCUCGGACCCAGCACGCCACCAUGCUGGCCAUCUUGAAAGGCAGCGGGCCAUCGUUUACCAUACCCUCGCCCUACCUCUCACUAGCCCGCCUCCUCCCGCCGCUUGGCUUGACCUGACCCGUACCGCCUUUCCUCCGCACAGGUCAUCCAGGCCGCCAUCUGCCCGGAGCGCAAGCUGGGUGACGACGCGCUGUCGGCCGUGGCCAGCAUCACCGACACGUACGUCUCCAACGACCUGCAGGUGCGCCCGCAUCUCCCAAUGUUUGGUUGGAAUGGGGUACGUAGUGAAGGCGGGUCUGAGGUACACGUCAUGAUGUGUGUCGGGCUAUGCGGCGCCCCCACGUGGGUGCGCACCGUGUGCUAUGGGGGAGACUUUCCGUCACGGCCCCGUCCCAGCGUCGCUGGCAACGUCCACAGCUGUGCGCACCACGCGGCGCUGCUCACUCGCUGCCAACACGACCGCUCCCCGGCCCUGCCGCGGUCCUGCAGGUGGUCAAGGUGUUUGUAAGCGUAUACAGUGACGACUACGGCAAGCGAGUGGCCAUGGAGAACCUGCAGCGCCUGGAGCCGUGAGUGUCCGCGGGCGCCGGGGGGCAUCGGACGAGGCAUCGGGGCGGGGAUGGAAAUGCGGGGGAUGGCAUCCGGGUGCGGGAGGGGUCGAGGAGUGAGGUGCGGCUGCGGGCCCACUUGAAGGCUAGUCUGUGCCCGCCGCUUGGCGUUUUCAGGGCCGCCACGGCGCGUGUGACGGUCGAGGACAGCGGACUCUCGCCACAUCACACCGCGAUCUGCUGCAGCUCACAUGUAACCGUACCAUACACGCCUCCCAUUGAGCAGCUGCCCCCUUGUGAUGUCGCUGGCUUACCGCCCCACCUGCCUCGCCAUUCCCGCGCAGCUACGUGCGGAGACUGAUCGGCCAGCGCGUGCGGCUGCGGCUUACGCCGGAGGUCCGGUUCGUGUACGACGACGCGGAGGAGGAGGCUGACCUGGUGGCGCGUGUUAUUGGGCGCGAGGAGGUGGAGCGGUACCGGGAGGAGAUCGAGGUGCGAACGGCGGGGAGGAGCCAGGGAGCGGCCGGGGAGGAGUGGGCUGCAGCGGCAGUGGCAGUGGCGAAGGGGCAGAGAGGAUUGCAUCGGGGCGCAGUGACGCAGGAGGUGGAGACGAGUUUUGGUUGGAUUGAGUUAGUAAGGAAGGCUUGCGAGGGUACGCGGCAGUAUGGCGCUGCAGCGCGGCGCAGCCACUGGCACCUUGGGCAGCUGCCUCGCCAAACAAACAGCACCUCGUCAGCAAAGUCGUAUGCCUUUGUUGGUUUUCAAGUGCCAUUGUGGGGAUUCAGUUCCGACCUGUUGCCCGGCCUUCGCAUGCAGGCGGAUAUGAUGCCGGGCCGCCCCCGCGGCGACGGCGCUAACGAGGAGGAGGAGGAGGCGGACGAGGAGGCUGGCGUCGAGGGCGCUGACGCGGGCGAGGGCGAGGAGGAGGAUGAAGAGGAGGAGGGCGAAUUCGAGGAGGACGAAGACUUUGAGGACCCAGACGAGCGGCCGCAGGAGUACCCCAACCCCUUUGGCGACCUGUUCAUCGACGACCGCGAGUACCGGGCAGUGGCGGGCAAGCGCGUGGAGGAGCGGAGGCGUAGCCAGGGCCGCCCGCAGCCGCAGGGCCGCGGGCAGGGGCGGCGUGGGCAAGGGCAGCAGCGGGAGGCGGCGGCGGCUGAGACUGGUGAUGAGUAGGUAUAAUGUCUGUUUGUCAGUGUAUACUAACGAGCACGUGCGGGCAGCGUGCAGGAACCGUGGAUGGCCGCAGCAGGCAGGUUCAUUGAUAGCGCAGUGCGACGGGAGCACGGGGCCUCCGGCACGCAAGAGCUACUGGCCUACUGCUAGAGUACGUCCUACGGCGCUAGUCAGGAUCGCGCCUGGGAUCGUCGUCUCGCCUGGUGCGAUGGGACGGGGUAAGGGGCAGGGUGGCGUAGUCUGGGCAUUCGUCUCGCCCGGUGCGGUCUUCUCUCCAUUACGUAGCAGUUGCAACGCGUGGAACGUCGUGUACUCGCCAAGGUCUUGUGAUGCGACGUGAUACGUUGUCUGUAUUAUCAGUUCUUGGGCGGAAGGCCUGACGAGUCAGUGAGCGGAUGGGCGGGCGAGGGGCAAGGGGGGGGGGCUGCUGGAAGCUGGGUGGGGGUGGGGACCGGCGUGGAGUGGGGCCAGACCGACAUAGCCCAUCGCGCAUCGAUAGCUUACCCAAAGACCCUGUCAGGUAACCUUCACCGCAUCGUCUAAAGAUUAAACCAGCACAAUCAGUGUAUUAGGAACGCUGUGUUCCAGUCGUUUGCCGGCCCAAAAUACCUUUCGCCGCAUAAGCUCUUGACAGCAUCGUUACUCUUUGUUGGCCAGGUCUUCCAAUGAUGGAGUCAUAUGAUAGGAACUAGCGACUAAGGGAGGAGGAGCGGACACCGCAGAAAUGGCAGGGGUCAGUACGCAGUCUUGUUCGAGUGCCCUCUCGGCCAGUGCAAAGCGUUAUGAGUGCGAUGCUGUAUGACGCCCGAGAAUUACCGAGGCGUCGCGCUGGCAGCACGUGUGGCAAUUGUGAAAUGUCUAGUUUCAGCACCUCGGGUUUGCGGCCAGCCGGCGCGCGCGCAGUCCUUGAUAGCCAUACUUUUGCAAUGCAACCUCAAUGAAUGUGUCCGGCCCGGCGCUUCACUCCUCGCGUUCGUAAUUUUGGCACGCUCGCCCACGGGGGAGGGCAACGCUCGUAGCCUCACAAAGCUUAACCUUUACCGCCCCAACCCCUUGUGACUUUACUUGCAGCACCGGCGCUCCAUGGAGCUGGGAGAGCUGCGCCCGGUGCCCGAGGACGCCUCAAAUGCGCCGGGGCUGGGCUCACAGCCCUCCCAGCGCAUCACCAGCCGGCCAAGCACCCUCUCCCGCGUCGCGGAGACUCUGGGCCUUGCUGGCAUGCUUAGCGGAAACAGCGGCCGUCUCAGCGGCAGCGGUGGCACUCCCGCUAACGGUAGCACGAUUGGUCAAGGCGGCAACAACGGGGUCCUUGUGGCGCAAGGCAGCAGCGGCAACGGGUUGGGGCAGGGUGGCGGCAUGUCGGGCCGGGUGAGGCGCGAGCCUUCCCGGGCGGGGCCCGGAGGCGGCGGCAGCGGCCUGGGCCGCACCAGCCUGAUGGUGAAGCUGCAACAGAGCAGCAAGCAGCUGGUGGACCUGGGCAAGCUGCAGGCCAAGUGGGUCAGCGCCACGCUAGUCAAGAAAAGCGAGGCGCAGGACUACGUAAAUGAGGGUGCGUGGGCGCUGAGCGGCGCAGGCUGGGUAGGGCGGAAGGACUGGAAAGGAGUACAGAGACGUGAGGACUGGGACGUAUACCAGUGAUGUGGCGGGUUUCCGGUUCGCCCUGGGCUUUCUUGGAGCUGGCCGUCCUGGCCCGGAAGUCACGCCGGCCGCGGGUAACGAGCAGCCGCGACAGCUAGGCGCGGGUGGAUGCCGUCCGGAGUGGUCACCUCGCAAGCUAACCUCAUCAAAUCAGCCUCGCACUAGCGGCCCCGAAGUCGCACAUGCAAGCCGCAACUCCUUUGGGGUUUGGGUCUACCGGCUCAGCCGCCUCAACGGCCUCACUCUCGACAGCCACCAGCUCAUAUGCCGCGCCGGCCGUUGCACCACCUGCAGCCCCGGAACAAGGCGCAGACCCGUGCCCAUGCCCAACUGCCCAACAAGCUACCAGUACUUACACGCUGUGCUUUCUUACUCUCCGCUGCGCCUGCCACGCCCGCCACUGACCCUGUCGCCGCCCGACUCGCCACUCCCGCACCGGCACCCAGAGGACCAGGGCUUUGCGGCGCUGCUGGCGCGGCAUGUGGAUGUGCCCACAGCUGCAUGGCACCGGCUGCUGGCGGCUCUUGGCGCGGAACAGCAGGAUGGGCAGUUCUGGCAGUAAGUGGCGGGGUGGGGUGCGGGGCACCGUCUUCGCUUACCAUUCAAACCGUCUAUGGGGACGUGAAUAGCAGGACGGGGUUGCGCGGACAUACGAGGCUGCGGAAGGACGGCGCUUGACAUCAGGCUAUACCAUCUUUGAUCUGGUUGGGCGGUCUGAUAGCCGCAGAUACCGUCGCUGCUUACACAGCGCCACGUUCAUUCGCACUCGCAGGACGGGGCUGGGCACAGCGCCGGACGUCCAGCGCGCAACUCGGACCUCAAUUGAUGAGCCCCCUGGGGGGUUUGGGCGGAGGCAGGAGGCUGACGGCGGCGACGGAGCCGAGGAGGGGCGGGCGAGAUCUCUGGAACGACAACCGUAAGCCGGCAUUCAGCUUUGGCUGGUGAUCGAUGCCUGCUUCACAGACUCCCAUACGCAAUCGGCACGGCGGGGAUAGAUUGCAGGGCGCACAGCUUGCCGGCCUUCGCCUCCUUCCCUUGGCAUCCUGUCACAACAUCCAGCCUCACCUGGCCUCGCACCACGUUGCUCCUCCCUACCGGCAUCGCUUUACUAUGGUAGACAUCCCAACGAACUCCACCGGCACUCGCCUGACUGGUGAUGCCUGCAACCCUGUCUUCCCCCGUGUCCCUUAUCCCACACAGCCGGCGCUCCAUCUUCUUGCUGCCGGUCGUGUCGCCCUACAACCUGGCUGCGGUGCUGUGGCAGCUGACCAUCCUGCUGCUGGACCUGGUGUACACGGCGUUCUGGGUGCCCAUGAACGUGAGAGGCGCGGGGCGGGCGGGCGGGAGGGCCAGCUGAGAGGCAGGAGCAGCCGGCAGCGAAACUGGUGCACACGCGCAGGCGUGGCAGCCGCGAAAUGCAAAGGGUACCUCUUUCCUCCACUGACUGCCACCAGCAACACCACUAACUCCGCCCGACAUGUCCUUACGUGCGCGUGCGUGCGGCGGAUGCGCAGGUGGCGUUUUGCACCGCCGAAUACGGCAACCUGCACAGCGGCUGCACCGUGAGCGAUCUGGUGGGGGGCUGCUUCUACUUUGUCAACGUGUUGGUCAGCUUUCAGGUGCGGCGGGAACUGCAGGGGUUUGUAGGUGCACAAGCGGGUGUUACAACAAGGUGGAAACGGCCUUGCCUUCGCCGCACAGCCUCUGAAGCUAUCACCACCCCGUUUCCAUUCGCAACUAUGCGCGUCGGACCCAACCUCCACCCACCUGCCGAAUCCUGCAAACGUCCCGCCCUUCCGUGUCCCGCAGAUCGGCGUGGUGGCCACGCAUGGUUACCGCAAGCGCACGGUGGAGGACGGCGGGCUGGUGGCGUGGCUGUACGCGCGCUACGGCCGCUUCUGGCUGGACUUCGUGGCGUCCGUGCCCUUCAUCUACCUGGUGGUGCUGCUGGCAGGCAGCUUCAAGCUCAACAAGAGCUGGGUCAACUGCCUGUCGCUGCUGCGGCUUUUGCGCAUGGUGCGCUUGGUCAGCAUCUCCAAGGUGCGCGCCGAUUGGGCUGGGGACCAGGGGGGCCUUCGAUGUGAUUAAGGAGUCGGGAGGCAGGGUUUAUCCUAUUGGGUUGAUGCACCUUUCAAAUCUCCAGCCACCACAAUUUCUGUAAGAGACUCCUGGUUGGGCUGGCGCCUGGAGGCGAGGGCAAGCCACAGAAGCAGCAAUAGCUGCAGCGGCAGCAGUAGGACCGUAGGCGUAGUCAGUGUGCUGGGGUUUGCAAAGCGGAAACUUGCACCACUGUUUAGGCUCGUCCUCCACCUCCUCCGCCCCACGCCUGCAGGUGGUAUACGUGGACAGCCUGAGUGGCCGCUUCCAGGACUCCUCCAUUGCGCGGCGGCUCAGCGUGACGGUGCUGUACAGCGCGCUGCUGGCCUACCAGCUGGCGGUGGCCAUCAACCUGCUGGCCUGCAUCAUGGUGCUGUGCGCCUACUUCGAGGUGGGUGCGGCGGGCCGGUGUGGCUGGCCUGGUGGUGGGCAGGCUGGGCCGCCGGGCGGGCUCGGCAGCGGCCACUGGCAGGCUGGCGGGCGGGCUGGCGGGUUUGCAUUGGAUCUCGAGGCUUGGUGUGGGGGGCCGAGACAGCAGCUGGGAGCUGGACGGCGGCGCGAGGCCUGUAGGCUAGGAUGCAGGAAGGGUGGCGUUGGGGAGCUGUAAGCACCAGACCAAUGCUGCUGACCAGCCUCCCCCUCGACCUGGUUCGCUGGUCGCCUGCACGCGCCCGCCCGCAGGGCUACGAGAACAGCUGGAUGUCCAGUGUGUCGUGGACGCGCCUGUGGGAGGCCGCGCCCAUCUACCAGUGGUACUGCGCCGUGUACUGGAUGAUUGUGACGGUGAGAGAGCCGGCAGCCCCCCUGCUGCUGAUGACGACGACGCCCUGCGCUCAUGCCUGCAGCCCAACCAUCAACCUAACGGCCUCACCACCUACCUACCUACCUGCCUGCCCGCCUUGCCUGUCUGUCCGCCCGCUGUCCGCCCGCCUUGCCUGCCUGUCCGCCCGCAUGCCCACCCGUAGACCACCACCACCGGCUUCGGCGACUUCCAGCCCCGCAGCGCGGCGGAGCAGGUGGUGGCCAACGUGGCCAUGGUGGGCGGCAUGGUCAUGUUCGGAGUGCUGGUGGCGUCCAUCGGUAACGCGCUCAGCAGGGCCACCGCGGAGGCACACCAGGUGCGGGGUAGGGGGCGAGGGAGGGCUGCGGGAGGGUUGAGGGAGGGCGUUGGGUGGCAUGGGAGGGAGGGGCCCAGGCGCGGCUAGGAGCUGCCGGCGCCGCUUGUGUGCCUUGGACCUCGUUGUGAUGUCGUCUUGACGCUCCUCCUCUUCAUGCUGUCGCGCAACACAGGCGUACGGCUCGCGGCGCAAAAUCAUGCACGUCAAGGAGUGGGCGGAGCACCGCGCCUUGCCGCCCAUCAUCUCCAAGCAGGUGCAGGUGCGUGACACCGCCGCCCGGCCUCGCGGCCGGCGUUGCAGCACGGCCGCCAGGCUCUUCGUGGUCAGCAUGAUGUGGCUGCCUGGGUCGUAGCAUGGACUCUCACACAUGCGAUGUACGGCAUUCACGCACGGAAUUGCACGUGUCGACUCCCGCUGCCCCCCAAACCUCUGGUUUGUUCACGUUUCCGUCUUUCGCGGACGGCUGACCCCUCCCCCCCCAGAACUUCUACGCGGACAAGUACGGGCGCAAGCAGGAGGACGCCAUCGACAUGGCCGUCAUGUCGGAGCUGCCCAGCCGCCUGCGCGCCAAGGUGGCCCGGGCCAUGGUGGUGCCGCUCAUGGCGGACUGCCACAUCCUUAUGGAGCUGCCCGAGGACCUGCAGGUGUGUGUGCGUGUGGGUGGGGAGGGGGAGGGAGAUGUCCAUGCAAGGCAAGGGGGAAGGCAGCCAAGUCGCGAGGUAGCGUGAGUGGCGUGCGCGGACGGUGUGAUGGUGCGGAUGAGAGGUGCUGUGCAGUCCAAGGGCACAGCAGGGGCCUGUAGCAGGAGGGCUAGGUGCAGUGGCGUGCAUGCAGCGAAACACAUGCGCUUGCAAUUUGACCAUAUGUCAUUGUCUGGCGCCUUCGCUUUGACCCGCAGUCGCUGUUGGCUGAGAACAUGCGGCCCAUCCGCCUGCCCGCCGGUAAGCAGCCGUGCAAAGCGGCUUCACCUUGGCGGACUGUGUGCCAGCGUGCUUGCACUUGCACCUGUGCCCUACCCAAGCCGCUUGCCACACAUCCACACCAGCACCGCCUACCCGUCGUACCCACCGCCGGCGCCUGACGCCCACAAACACGCACACGCCCGGACACAGGCGAGGACCUGUGCCAGCAGGGCGACGUGGCGGACUGCUUCUGGGUGCUGCAGGACGGCACCGUGCAGGCCGUCCGCUACAAGUGAGCGCGGCAGCAGGCAGGGGCACCCGCCAGCACACGGUGUCCGCGCCGACUACUUCGGCCCGGUCUCCGAACGGAACUGCCGCAAAGCACACCUAUCCUGGACCUGUGGAACACCUUGCUCACCUCCUCCUCCACCCGCCUCCUCCACCCACGCUCUACUACACCUGCAGGGAGGGCUCGGUGACCAUCGACGCCUCCGAGACGCCGCGGCUGCUGGGCGAGGGCGUGCUGCUGGGCGACGUGGUGGAGGAGUGCCGCGUGCGGCCCUGGACGCUGCGCACCGUGACGCCCUGCCGGCUGUGGGGGCUGCCGCUGCAGGACCUGCUGCCGCUCAUGCGCAUGUACCCAGCCAUCGGGCUGCUGGCGGCGGAGUACGUCAAGUUCAAGGUGGUGUACACCUACAACGGCGACAGGUGCGGUGCGGCCGGCGUGAGGACUGUAGGGUUUACGAGGAAACCCAGUGCGCGCUGCACUGUGCUGCGGGAGCAUUCUUGGCUUGAAGAUUGGGGGGGGGUGAUGAGUGCGGCGCAAAUGCAUGGGCAUUGCGGCGCUGGAAAGCGGCCAGCAGGCGCGGCGCUGUAAUGGCGAUGCCUCAGGAAUGCGUCGUCCUGACGGUGUAUGCGCUCGUGUGUGUGCCUGCCCCUCUGUCUGCUUCCUGCAGCACCGACGACCACUGGUGUGAGCUUGCGGCGGUGAUCGUCAAGUACAUGCAGGUGGGUGCAGUCAGUCAGUGUCAGGCGGCUUUCACGUCAUGCUUGCUGACCGGUAACUCCCCUUGGACAAGCCGAGAGCUGCUAGGCUGUAGCUCUGCUGCUUCCAGCAGUCCAGCGUGCAUGACUCAACUGCAUUACAUAUGCGCAGGAGCACGUGCCUGAUGACGAGGCAACCGAGAUGGUGGCCGAUUUGUUCAAGGUGAGCAGCACGGGCGCUGUGUUGCGUGCAGACUGGCCGGGCCAUCAGGGUCCAACAGACGCGAACAUGUGCACCACCUGCCUGCCAGGCCCACCAGCCCACACACAUGCCAUGGGACUCGUCCUAUCCUCCUGCCCCCUCAUGCCUACGCCCGCGCAGACCUCGGCGGAGGAGCAGACGCUGCAGCCCAUGCUGGAGCAGAUGCUGGAGAUGUGCGCCUCCCGGAACACCACCGGCGGCACCACCACCACGAUGCUGCUGCAGCAGGCCCGGUCCGGAGGAGGCGGAGGUGGAGGUGGUGGAGGCCAGGGCGGUGGAGGUGAUGGUGAUGGCGGGCCGCCAUCUGCACAGCCGCAGGUACCGUCGGCAAGCACAGCAUCUGCAUUUGGUUCCCCGGCGGCGGCCGCAGCGCUAGCGACGGCGCUUCAAGCGGUGGCGGCGGGGCAGGGCGCGGCAGCGGCGGGCCGGGCGGCCACCCAGGCGCAGGCGCAGGCGCUCCCGGCGAGGUCCUUGUCGCCGCCCGUGCGGCACACGACCGGGAACCUAGCAGGUAGGCAACAAUGCUCGUUCCGAUCAACAUUUUGGGCGUCCUUUUCGCACCUAGUGACAUGUGCUGCCCACGCUUAAUGUGCCCUCGGCCGCACUUGCUAAGCCCCGGCUGCAACCCGGACGCCUGGUGGUGGUGCAGGUGUGACCGGCAGCGGGACCGGCGGUGGCACUGACCUGUCACCCUUCGUCACCACGUCUGGUUGCGCCCCCGGUGGAUCAGCUGCUGCAGGCGCGGUGCAUUGCCCCGGCUGCCAGCGCUGCGUGUGCCCCAGCUGUGGGCAGGGUCUUGACACGCCCGGUAUCGUGGGCGUGGCGGCCGCGCCACAGGCGCUGGCGCCCGCCACUGCCGUUGGUCCUGCUGCCCCGCCUCAGCAGGCAGGCGUCACCAACCGACCCAACGCAGGGCCGGGGGUGCGGUCGUGGGCUGCGCGCACGGGGACGCUGCGGCGCGUGUCGAUUGGCCAACGCCCGGACGCGGUGUGGGCGAUUGACCGCAGUUCCAUGGACCGGCGGCAGCUUGGCGCCAUGAGCAUCAUGCCCAUGUUUGAGUAAUUUGCAGACAGCCAGUUCAUGCCAAUAACAUUGCGAUUAACGCACGUACAUGUUCCUGCAACAGUCAUGUGCCAAGCAGAGGCGUUGGGGGCUCUAGUUUAGCAGGCCGCUUUCUGUGUUGCAUGGUAACUCCGAGUGCGGUAGGUUCAUGCGAUGCGCUUUGCUGUGCCAGCGGGGGCUGUUUGCGUGAAGCCACAGGUGUCGCUUGACUGGAUGUGGGCUUGCAAGGCGGGGCUCCGGGUCUUGGGGUGCAUCUUGAAUGUGCGCAACGCAGCACUGGUCCAGGGAUUGUGAGCACUGUCUGAGGGAUGCGGGGUGUGUUGUAAUAUGUCCGGGUAGCGCCGCGUCGCGCCAGCAAUGAAUUGUGCAGACGAGGCCACGGAGAGCGCGUAGCGGUGUGCAUGUGAGGCGUGUGACGGAUGAAUGUAUGCAGGUGGGUUGUUCCCCCGCUGCCGUGUGCGUUGCGUGUAUAGACCGAAGCCCCAGGUGCCUUCAGAGCAGGGAUCGCGUCAUCCGGUCUGGGGCAUGCAUUGCGCGUAGGAGUGUGGUGACACCAAUGGGGCUGAUCUUGGCCGAUGCUGUGCGUGUCCGGUGCAGGAUUGUGCUUGGUGCAAAUACCAUGCGAGCCGUGUAGAGGUCCGGCGGAGGCCGAAGGGCUGUAGGCUCGCUGCCUAGACUUGGGCCCGCUGUUCGCAGUCGGUGGUGUAGGGGACCGGUGAUUCGGUGUUACGGUACACAACUGCUUCUGGCGAAACCCGACAAGCCGACAAAGCACAGGUAGCUUGUAACUCCCGUCCAUACCAGGAGCAGACUCUCAACUUUACCACCGUGUGAGGGGACUGAAAGGGAGGUUCGAGCAGGUCCUAAUCUGGGAGUCAUAGAGAAUGCUUAUGCGACUAACCCUAUCGGACGUGAAGGAUGACAUGGCUCGGGUGGCAUCCAGCAUCGCGUAGAAAUGCAGUCGAUACAGCGGAUUGGGCGGAACGGCAACAAGGCGUGUCGCAGCCCGCACGCAGUGUGUGUCUGCAUGAGCGGGUGCGGCUGGUGGGGGAUGUGUGGAUGAAAGCCAAAGUCUGUGUGUGUGCGGGGGAGGGGGGGGGUUGGCACUGGUUGGCGUGGGGUUGACCUCGUCGCAUCGCCAUGGUGGCUCAAUCGUGGCAGGUCAGGUAGCAUGACGGUGUCCAUAUAGAUUCGGGGGGUACUAUAGGCCGUGAAUCACAAAAUAGCAACAUACUGUCCUCGUUCUCGCGGCCAUGGCAUCUGCAAUCUUCGGGACGGGUUUCUUGCCGCUAGCGCUGUUCUUCGCUGUCGCCCUUGUACAUUACAAGUACAUAUAUGGUGGUUAUUCUGCUGGUUCGAUAAGUGCUGACGCACAUACGCCGGCCGUGUUGUCAAGUGAGGCGAGAGUCACGGGCGGGUGUCCAACCUGUCCCCCUUCCGACGCACCUACGACAGCGGGGUGGCGCCCUGUGUUUCCCCUCCUCGCAAAAGGACCACUUGCACGCCCCUCGCAGAUCUCUUCUUCCCAGAGCUUGAAACAGGAGUAGACCUGCAGUCUCGGUACGCCAGCCUCUUCCUCGAGACUGGCGCGUCCACUGGCGGCCUAUCUGAACGGGACCAGGACGCCGCCACCCGCAGUGCCUUGGCUGGAGGUAGCGCAGUUGGUAGCAACGGCAGUGACAGCGGCAAUGGCUACACCAGCGCUGGGGAAGGUGACGGGCGAAGCAGCUCGCACUCGCGUCUGGUGCUACUACCCGACCUGCACGGCGACGCACGGCAGGCGAGUUGCAUGCCGGAAGAUAGCAAUCAAUGGCCCACGCAGCCACGUGUGAGGUGCUACGUGCCUGAGCAAUCUGCAUGCUACUCUUCACGUGCCUGAUGCAUGCAUGGAAACAGUACCGCGUCAGUAUGUCAGCUCUAUGUGCACUCCGUUCGCAGGCGGCACGCGCCCUGCAGCUUGCCGGGCUGAUUUCGCCCAACUACACGUCCGCUGCAGCGCCGCAUGUGUCAGGCCUGCCAGAAACCUGGCACUGGGAAUGGCAGUGGACGGGCGGCGAUGCAAUGCUGGUGCAGGUGGGGGGGGGGGAUGCACACCUGGUGGACUCGGGUGGGCGGAUCAGGAUCAAUGGAGGGGUGGCCGUGAGGGAUGGCCGCCUGCCUGGCAUUGUGGUUGACAGCGGCUGAAAUCACCCGCUGCCACACCAUAUGUCACAGUACAUACAUGAUCGUGUGCCAGCACACAGCCGGAGCAGACCAGUAAUAGCUAGCACAUGCAUGCGCCGCUACAGGGGCGUGAUCCAACAAACACCUUUUCUGUGCGUAUGUGUGUGUAUGUGCACGCGCCGCGCCGUCCCCGCAGCUGGGUGACGUGGUGGACCGCGGGCACGACAGCCUGGCGCUGCUGGGGCUGCUCCAGCGGCUGGGGCAGGCGGCGGAGGCGGCUGGCGGGCGCGUGCAGGCGAUACUGGGUAACCACGAGCUGAUGCUGGUGCGUGUGUGCGGGCGGGCGGGCCGCGUGUGAGUGCGUGUGGCAUGUGGGCAGAGAAGCUGUGUCGCGAUGCACGCCCCCUCUCUGGCCGCCGAAUGCCUCCGCCCCAAACUGACACUUGGUGUGCUGAUGAGAAGGCUUGGCCCUUUACUCGGACAUAUAAUGGGCUGCUGGCUUGACUCCCCGUCCGCCUCAUAACGCCUCAUGUCGCCUCACAUCGCCUCAUUUCGCCUCGCUCCGCCUCGCUCCGCCUCGCUACUCUUCGGACCGCAGGUGCAUCAUGACUACCGGUCAGUACGGACGUCCGGGGAGGGGUUGUUCAUCCCAGCGGCCGCACGAGUCGUUACGAAAUGCAGCGCUGUGCAGUUCAAAGGCCCGGCGGGACUGCCUGCGGUCAUAUUAGCGAGCAGCCCGGUGCGCAGCAUGCCCCCCCCCGCGCUGCUGUCCACCUUGUGCUGCUACUGCUGGCCCACAUCGGCACAGGUACGUGUCUAGGGAGGAGCUGAGGGCGAUUGGCGCCGCCGCACGCCUGCCACCGCUGUGGCCGGGCGCAGGCGGCAGCGCCAGCGGCAGCAGCAGUGACGCACAUUCGGCAAGGGUUGGGGACGAUUCUCGCGGCGGCACAGGGACUUCGCGCGGUCUGGCCGGCAACUCGGCCGCAGCCGCGGAACAGCCGUCCGGCCACCACCUCCACUCGGUGCCGCAGCCCGACCCGACUGCAGAGCAGCAACAGGGGGUGGAGAAGGUGGCGCAGGUGGAGGCGGAGGAGGAGGAGGAGCGUUCUGAAGACGAGUCGCUGCGGGGUGAGCUGCCAGCCGGUCACCGGGUCUCCAUGCCUGCACCUGCUGCUGGCGAGCCGGGGCCGAGGCGGCAGCCGGACCACGACCGCGAGCUGCGACUUCGGCGGCUGCGGGAGUCAGGAUUGGCUGACUCCGGCCUCAGCGCUACUAAGACAGCCAGCGACAGAGCUAGCAGCAGUGGCAGUGCCAUCAGCAGCGGUAGCAGGAAUGGCGGCAGUGUCGCCACGCGGUGGCGCCAGUUGUUGCAUCAGGAACCGCAUCCCGAACAGCAGGAGCAGAAAGAUAAGCUUUUGGCGCAGAUGCGGGCGGGGCUGGAGCUGUGGCAAGCGGGUUUGGCGCCAAGCCAGCCGCUUGGCGCCCUCGUGAGGCGGCGCCCUCUGGCGCUGCUGGCUAAAGGGGGCGGCUGCGAGGUGUUGGUUGUGCAUGCGGGCGCUUUUCCUUGGAUGCUGACAGCGGUCGAGCGGGCUCUGGGUGUUGGGGAGCAGGGCGAUCAGCAACAGGAUGGGAACAAGGGAGGGGCAGGUGCAGGGACGGCGGCGACUGGGCGGCUGACGCCGCAGCAGUAUGUGGACGCAUGGAAUGCGGUGGCGUUAGAGGCUCUGGUGCACUGCGACGGCCGCUGGUGCCGGCACGGCGGCGAGCAGGCGGUGGCGGGUAAUGCGGGGCUCCAGGAAGGGUCUAGGAGCGGGAGAGGCGGCGAACCUGCAUCAGCGCGGUGGCGCUACCGGCGAGAGCUUGCAGGUGUGUGAGCGCGUGUGCAGACAGCGGUCUGGUCCAUGAUACUUGUCGUUGCGCGUGCGUCCCUGGUACAAUUUCCACCUGUCAUUCUGUGCCUUUCGUGGGUCGUUCUGCUCGCUUCUACUCGCCUGUGUCACUAAGCCCGGCAUGCGCUGCCUUUCGGACUCCAGAGCUGCUGUUGGGCGGUGAAGGCGCGGUCUGGAGCCGCCGCUACAUCCAGGCGCCAAAUGAGCAGGUGAGGCCGUCUGGAAACAUUGUAAGUGUGGUUGCCAGUCCGCAGCACGGGCUCUUCCUGCUGGGCGCCACAGCGCACACCGCCCUCCGAAUGUGCUGCCUGCCGCAGGUGUGUGCCGAGGUGGCGGCGGUGGCGGAGCGGCUGGGCGUGCAGCGCGUGGUGGUGGGGCACACGGUGCAGCGCGGCGGCCGGGUCAGCAGCAGGCAGGUGCAGGGGUCCGCAAGGGGCCAGGCCCAGCGCACGAUAGCGGAGAAUGACCUGGCCCAACCAUCGUGAACUUGCCUGCUGCACAGUUCCGCUGCACGGCCGGCAGGGCAAAGCAGAGCGCCCCCAUCAACCUCCAUUCCCGGCCAUGCAGGUGCGGCGGACAGCUUCUGAUGGUGGACGUGGGGUUGAGUCGCGCCAUCGCCGGCGAGAUGGCGGUGCUCACCUGCAGCAACGGUGUGUUGCGGGCCGUGUACGGCGAGGGGCAGGAGCAAGAGUUGUAGACGACUGGCACAACGCCUGCCAAGCAACCCCUGCUUUGCACGAUGACGGAUGAGCGAGUGCUGCCAUGUGAUGGCAAGGCAGGCAUGUUUGGUCGAGGAGCGGGCUACAUGAAACAGUCUCGACGUGCAGAUGGGUGCUCCCGUGGACGAGGCACGUAGCAGGGAAGGGCGUAGCGGCGGGUGCGCGGCAGCGUGGAUGCGGGGGUUGAAGAACCGGCAUGAUGGGGCAGCGCACUCGGAUUGAUUCUGAGCCAGCAGACGAGUGGCGGUUGUAACAGUACACAAGUGGUAGUAGACAUACAAUACCUUCACGAAAUUUGCGUCCUGAGCUGAAAUGCUUGCCGGGUCACGAAUCCUUCAAGCGCCACGCCGGGCGUGUGCGGGCGGCUGCAGCCAUGGUACGAUUAAGGAGUUUGCUGAUAGACACAAACUCAAGUCAGUAAUGAGGGCCGCAACCGGUCUUUCGUUGGGCGCAGGCAUGCCGCUCGCUUUGCGUAGUCGUGCUCGCUGCACGGUGCGCGUACGCGUGUCAGAGAAGGAAGCCGAAGCAGUAAGUCAUCAUGUGGGUCGAGCCUCCGGGCAGGCGUGGGCAUGAGCUUGCUCUCUAACGGCUGCAUGGGCAAACACAGAGUGCUGGCAAUAGGUAUACGCGACGCGGCAAAGCUACCCUACUGCUAAAUCGAUGUGGCAUGGCAAAAGCACACUGCUGCCGUGGCUCCGCCCUCCCAGAGCACAGCCCCGCCCCACCAGUGACCGUGCAACACCCACAGCUCCCGAAGACGCGCUGUGCUGCUUUAAGGGCCCAGCACCCAUCGAGUGCCAUCAAACCAACCUAUAGUACAAUUAGGUCUGGCAGCGCUGGUGUGCAGUGCUGGCACCAAUGCCAGUGCUGCCUGCUGCUGCUGGCCGCCGGUGCCUGACUGCGCUCUGCCCUGCCGCCUGCGCUGACACGGCAUCUGUCCUACAGGCUGCCUCAGAUAGUGUGGAAUCGGGGCUAGCGGCCAUCGCCAAGCAGAUCCUGCAAACAGAUCCCGAGGCGCGGGAGAGCCUGCGCCGCUACGAGGAGGCCGUGGUGAGCGCCGUGUGGGGCCGCCGGCGUACAUGGCCGCUGCUGGGGCAGUGGGCAGGGGCACUAGGGGAGAUGACGAGCAGCCCAGGGGCGCCGCCCCGUAGCUAGGGCCGCCGCUGCACGCGCCCUCUCCUGUGCAAUGACGAGAUAGAACCUACACACUCGCUAUGGGUUCCACUGCGGGCUCACAGCGCCUAACCACCACACGACCCUGCCUGCGCCUCGCCAGCCCGCACCUCCCCCAACACGAUCCCCAACCCACACCUCUGCACACACCUCCGCGCACACGGUAACCCCAGGUCCGGCUGGAGAAGGCCAAGGCUGCCAGCGAGGAGCUGGACCGCAUGUUCGCGGAGGCGCAGAAGGGCGCCGCCAUGUCGGACGAGCAGCAGGAGCAGGCGCAGGUGCGGGGUGUGUGUGCCGGAGGGCAGCCGGGCGUGAGACUGAUUGGGUGAAUGAGCAGGGGCAGUUCAUCAUGGAGCCCAACGUAAAGCCAAGAACCCGAGCCCACAGCGGUGCCAUUAGCUGUGGGGAUGGGCGCAGCAGCAGGACGGGCAGGCGGGCGCGGCGGAGCAGGGGCGGAGGUCAGAGGGGGAUUGGCGCGGGGUGCGGGAGAAGCUGCGAGGGUCUAUGGGAAGUUGCUGCCUACAUAAGAGUUGAAAGAACAUAUGCGCGCACGCCGCACACAUGAGCUCCGAUAACACGCCCUGGCCUCGUGAUGCUACCGGCCACGUUGCUACUUCCUCGACCCCGCAGCGGCAACGCGCCAACGAGGUGAUGGCUGAUGCGGAGGUGGCGGCGGCGGAGCGCAUGUUGGCGGCGGCGGAGUUGGAGUUCGCGGCGGCGCAGGCCGAGCAGCAGCAGUGGGCGGCGGCGGCAAACGACGUGAGUGUGUAACAGAACCUGAGAGAUGUGGUGGACGUUGCUGCACUGUGCCCUGCCGCCCCUGGCCUACCUCCUACCGCCCCGACCCAACCGUGUCCCAUCCUCGCCCCCGCCCUGCCUAUGUCACCACAUCUUGUCGCCAGGGCCCGGAGCGCAUUGAGUCGGUCAAGGCCGCCACCGUGGCCGCCACCGCCGGCCUGCUGGCGGAGCUGCCGCUCAUCACCCUGACCGCUGGCGGCGACACGCCCGCUCUGUCCUCCGCACUCAGCCUGCUGGCUGCAAUGGCCGCCUGCUUCCUGUUCGGCGUCACCUACCGGUGAGCCUGCACACACGUGUACGUGCCCCAUUGCGUGCUUGAGUUCCUGUGCGCAGGUGCACGUCUGCUGCGUGUGCUGCCUGCGUGUUCUUGUGUGCUACGGCGUGCCGGAGGCCAGGCCACCAGGCACCGCGCAAAUAGGGGAUGGUCCAGCGCCACAUACCCAGUUACCCACACCUCAUCCUUUUCAACGCGGCUGCUUGUACCACUGCUCUCGCCGCUUCCCCCGCCUCCCCCGCUGCCUCCACUGCCGCUGCAGGUACGCGGUGCGCUCCGACUCCUCCAACCGGCAGCUGCGGCUGGGCGUGGUGGAGGCGUUUGGCCUGGUGCGGGCGUCGGGCGCGGCGGACGUGCUGCAGGCCGGCUCGGCGGGCUCGCCCGAGGGCCCGCUGUCGCUGGCGGGUGCGGUGGGCCCGGGCGCGCUGUACGCGCUGGAGAGCCUCAUCCUGUUUGGAUUUGCGUCCGUGGCCGUGGAGGUGAGGCCGGGUGGCAUGCCUGCACAGGGCUGGACAGGGCUUGGUCUUGGUGGAUGGGCAGGUUUGUGCGGCAGGCCGCAACUUCAUGGGUAUUAGUUUGCAUAUGCCGUAGCAUCGGGCCCAUGUGAUCACGUCCAACCCAUGCAGUCUGACAAAAAAACUGCGUCGGCUGAGUGUCCUGUGGUUCCCCCCGACACCUUGCAUGCGUCUGCUGCCCGCACAGGCCGCCUUCAACGCCGGGUUCCUCAAGCGCUUCGGUGAGCGGCCGCAGCAGUGAGCGGGCCGCGGCGUCGCCAGGUUUUUAGAGGUAGCAGCAGCUGCAAUGUAGUAAUAUGGGUGUAGGUUGAGGUGUAGGUUGAGGUGUUGACGAAUCUUUGGGACCGCGCGGGAGUUACAGGGCUCAGCUCUGUGGUGACGUGAUGGGAGGCACGUGGAAAUGGGUGCAACGAGCGCACGCGGCAGGCUUCGUCGUGCCGCUGCGAACGAAUAUAUACUAUUCGGGCGAUUAGCACGCGCGUGAAAGUACAGCGUGUGAGGCGCUCGAGCGACUUGCUGGCAUGUGCAGUCCUGUGGGACGGCGGUGAAAGACGGUGAACAAUCGGAUGCAGUGUUUUGCGAAUGUGUUGCGAGUCACAAUACAAAGAACUUCUUACACGCGAGUGAAUGGAGGCAUAGUCGUGGGUGGCAAUGGCGAUUGGGGUGGGGGGGCUGCAGCAUAGGACGGGGUGCCGCCGCCACGGGCUGUGGCUGGCCAGGUGUCCAGGCCAUGACACAAACCUUAUUAAUGUCCGCACCUGACCGUCGUGUUUCUCGCUUAACAAUAUACUGUAUAUGCGUGCAUACAAAGCCGUAAUUUGGGACACAUUUACCUGACGACCUCGUUCAAUCAAGGGCUUGCGAACACAUCCUCGCAACAACCGAUUCGCGCUGUUAGCUGGUGGUACCUCUUGAUGGUGACGGCCCCGCUGCGACCCUCUUCUUUCUGGACCCAUAGGAGUGCAGCGACCGGGCCCCGCAGCAGUCACGCUGCGCGAGGGCCCGGCGGUCGACAACUAUUAUGUCCGCCUUUACGCGGAACUAUACCUAGAGAUGCACCGUCUGCAUAUGAUGUCGACACAAACGGGCGGCCGGCUGUGGCGGUGUCUGGUUCGCACGGGGUCGGAGAGAACGGGAACGGCAGCAGCACAAAUGGCUCGUCUGGCCUGUCAAAAAGCGACUACUCGAAGUUCGUGCAGUUCUUCCGGCAAGCAAGCCCAUAUGUGGAGGGCCACCGCGGGCGAACAUUUGUGAUCGUCAUUCCAGGCGUGGUAGGUCGCCAGCUGGCGUCGCGUUGUGCCAAGAUCACUUCUGACACUUGGAUGCGCCGCCUGCACGCAGGUUUCAGCGAAUCGGUCGCUCCUGCAGAGUAUAAUGUCAGACAUCGCCCUCCUGCACGGUAGGGUUUUGCUGGCGCCGGCGUGCUGCUCGCCGCAGGGGUUGCUUUGGAUCGGGCGUGCGAUGCCAAUGGAUAUCCUUGCUGCGCGCAGGCCUGGGGGUGCAGCUGAUUGUCGUCGCGGGCGUGAACCAGCAAAUCGAUGACAUGCUGCAAGAGCGCAACUUGACCCCUAAGUACGUUGGCGGCUACCGCAUCACGGACCGCGAGGCGAUGCGCAUCGCCAUUGAGGCGGCGGGGCAAAUCCGUACAACGUGCGAACAGUUCCUCAGCAAGGUGGGUCAGGGAGUGCAAAACCCUAGCCGUGCCAACCUGGCACGGCAGACGUGCGUUGUUUGCCCUACGUGGCGGCGCGGAGACCCGCUAGCACCGGUGGCGCACCUAGCGCGCCUUCGAACAACAGGCGUGUACAGCUCCUCUUACCCUUUCAUUUUGCCAUUUCUGUACGCGGGAGGGCAUGCGUUUUGACCCGGUGCCUCAUCAGCGCCGCCUGACCAAUCCCACCGCGCCGUGCAGGGCCCCGCCAUCCCCAUGUUCCGACGACACACCAAGGGCGACCGCGAAAUCCACUUCGAGCCGGCGCUGCGCGUCAUCAGCGGCAACUACAUCACCGCCAAGCGACGCGGCGUGCUGGACGGAGUGGACUUCGGGCUGACGGGCGAGGUGGGUGGGCGGGCGGGCAUUGCACCGCGGCGGGCUGGGAGUCUGGGGCACAGGGCUGGGAGUGGGAUAUGGCACGGCUUUGGGGAGUAGAGCACGCCAGACUGCUUGGAAAGGGUGGGAAUUGUCAGAAGAACGAGAGAGAAAGCCGGUUAAAGGGGACCGUGCAGCGCAAGGAAAGCUGCGGCCGGGACCGGGGCCGGGGGCUGUUGCUGACCUGGGGUGGGCGGAAGCAUGAUGGUGGCUGUGUGCUUGAUGAUCAGGAGCUUGGGACGAGGACGACAACACAUGGUGGGCUCAGCAGCGGGCACCUCCUGGUUAGUGACCGGGCGGCUGCGCUCGUCACGCACACGCACUGACUGCACGCCCGCCCGCGCGCAGGUCCGGUUCGUGCUGAAGGACGACAUCCGGCGGCAGCUUGACAGCGGCAACAUCGUGUUCCUGUCCAACAUAGGUCAGCCGGCGGGCAGGGGGGGCUUGGGCAGGCUGGGGACGGGCGCGGUAGGGAGCACGGUGCUGUAAAGAGCACGGGGCGGAGGAGGCGCAGGAGGCAGCGAGGUGACCAUGACUGCGCUGGGGGAAUGGCGGAGGGGGAACGGCAAAGUGCGUGCCCGCCUAGCUUAGGAGACGCAGCUUUUGAUAGUAGGACGCAGGGGUACGGCCGGCGAAUGGGCACUGGGCAGGUUCAGCAUGCACUGGACUCAUGUACGGCCGGCGCAGGGCGUGUAGUGGGCGCGUAGGGGAUAGCUGGUUGCGACCGUGUGGCUCGAGCUCGGCCCUGCCUGAACCCCUCCCGCCCGCAGGCUUCACGGCGUCUGGCGAGGUGCUCAACUGCAACACGUAUGAUGUGGGGCUGCACGCCGCCGCAGAGGUGGGGGCGGUCAGGGCCUCUGGCGCGCUGCUGCCGCUCACGGGUUCAUACCCCUGCACGCACAUGAGCCGGCCUCUCGCCUCUGCCGCUACACAUACAAAUGCUUUUCUCUUACAAUGCACACCUUCACCGCGCCUGCACGUGACCUACACGCCCUCUCCUCCUCCGCCACCUCCCCUGUAUAAUCCCCCGUUCCCCAUUCACUCGUGACCCCGCCCCCCCAUCCGCAGCUGGGCGCCGACAAGCUGUUCUUCCUGCACCUGGACGAGGUGGCGGCGCUGAGCCUGCCGCAGUGGCUGCCGCUGUCGGAGGCGCAGAACAUGCUCAUGGAGAAGCUGCAGGUGGGGCGCGGUGGGGCGUAUGGGGCGCGGGGAGCAGGGGGCAGGAUGGGAGAGAGGAUUGGACAGAGGGUGCAGCCGCGGGGUGCAGGGCAGAGGGCGGAGGAUGGGGACAGGAGCCAGGGCCGGAGCCGGGCCAGGUCGGUAAUUGAAAGGGCGACCCGGUCGCUGCAGCUUGCAUGCGCCAGAGCCCGGUCGAGUGAUGCGCAGCCGCUGCUGCUGCUGCCGCCCGCACCCGCCCUCGCUGCCGCGCAGAACUCCAUCAGCGCACAGCAGAUGGACGCCCUGCGCGCCACCAUGGACGCCACGCCCGCGGAGCCGGUGUCGGCGUACGGCGUGGCCACGUCGCUGUCGCCGGCGCAGCUCAAGACCUACCAGGUGGGGGCCGUGGGAGUCGUGGGGCCCUAGGGAGCGGAAGGCUGGCCCAGGGAAGGAGCUGCGGAGUGGAAAGCCUGGAGGGAGGGGCAAUACGGUCGUAGGGCAGGACCAACCUACCCCUUUCCAGCGAGGACGGGCCGGCCUGUGCUUUGGCACCACCAUACCCCCGACGUCACUGCCUCCCUUCUCCUCCCGCGCUGCCGGGCUUGUAUCGUGACCUGUCCUGCCAGGCCAUGAAGCGCGAGGACCUGGUGGUGGAUCUGGACAUUUGGAGCGCGCAGGGCUUCCCCACUGCCGUGUCCACCUGCGUUGUGGCCUGCUGCAAGGGUGAGCGGAGCGGGGCGGGGCGGGGCCGGUGCUGGAUCAGGGUGAUGACGAAGAUGCGAUCGGCGUGGAAGUGCACGCGGCUGGCUCGCUGCACCGCACAGCGCUGCGGAGCCGCUAUCGGCCCGCUGCAAGACAUCGGCCGCUGCCGCAGCCCUGCUGCGGGCCCCUUGACGCCGAGUCGCCGACUCACAUGUCUCCACGCGCCCGCCGCACCCCCCACCUGUGCAACCCCGUUUACCAGGCGUGAAGCGGGCGCACCUGCUGGACGCACGCAUCGACGGCGGGCUGCUGUUGGAGCUGUACUCGCGGGACGGCGUGGGCACCAUGAUCAGCGCCGACUUCUACGAGGGUGAGCACUGCGGGGGAGGGGGGGCGGGGGCCCGGGCGGCGCCUCAGAGGAACGCCGCGCUUGUGGGAGGUGCUGCGGGCUGGUCCGGAGUGCGGCCCGCGAGGGGUUGUUGGUGGCUUGUGCGCGCAACAGGUCGGCAUGGCACCAGCUGCGGCCUCCCACUGCUGCAGCGUCAUGCAAGUAAGCCCUGCGCUCUACACCUUCCUCCGGGGACCCCCUCUUUGUCCCCCUACCCCACCCCACCCCAGGCAUCCGCAAGGCGCUGCCUAACGACCUGGACGGUCUGGCUGCGCUGCUGGAGCCGCUGGAGAAAGCCGGCAUCCUGGUCAAGCGCAGCCGGGACGAGUUGGCGGACCUGCUGCCCAGCUUCACGGUGAGGCAAAGGCAGGGCAGGGAAGGACUGGCAGGGAGCAAAGGAGGGAGCUGACAGGGUGACACGCGUACGAGGACGGGGAGGCGUGUGAGGGGAGUGGGUUGGAUAGUCGUGACAAGCGAAACCAACCAUGCCGCACUCCAAGGCACGGGGAUUGAACGGGGGCUGACUGAGCACAGGGAGUAAGGGACAGAGGUAUCGGGCGGGGGAGGGGAGGGUAGCAGUCGGGUUCAUCCUAGUACACUGCACGCUGGAUCUGGUGGGGGAGUGUGUAUUGCAAACAGCGGCUGGAGGAAUACAAACUUAAUUAUACUCUAUACUUAUGCAUAGCCAGCUAGCUCGCGACACCACAUGCGGGCCUGGCGGUGCGGUUGACAGCAUGGGCAUUCGUGUACCCGCCUUCCGCCGGUACCCGACUUACGAACACCCCACCCCGGACCUGCCCGACUCGCUCCUCUGACUCGCAUCUUCUGCACUUCAAUCACACUUUCUGACAUCGCGAAAUCCUUGUAAUGCACUGCAACGAGUGAAUGGAGGGCGCGGCCGGGUAACGGUGAUGCCGAGUAUCGUCGGUGAGACAGGAAUUCCCCUCUUUCUCAUUGGGCCAGCAUUUGUCGGGCUUCCACCAUUAUAUAUCAAUUCACAUACCCCAUACAACUCAUUGUGACAGACGCAAACCUAUACCCGCCUCCAGAAGUACCGAGCGCACGACGCCGUGCACCGCUUGAUAAAUCCCUCUCGAGGUUGAGCGCCCUUCCGCCCAAUCCCCGCACCUGUGCGACUCGCUCUUCUGACUGCUGCACAUGAUUACACACUCUUGAUAUGCCGUACGCGCCUGCAGGUGAUUGAGCGAGACAACCGCAUCCUGGGGGCGGCGCUGCUGCUGGACCUGGGCCAGACGCCCGACGGCGUGCCGGUGGCAGAGGUGGGCGCCUUCUGCGUGGACCCCAUCUACAGGUGCGGCGCGGCGCGGCGCGGUGCAACGCAGUGCUGCUGCCACAGGGCAUGAAGGGAAGGGUUUGUGGGCGACAGGGGUGGGCGUGGCAGCAGGGGUAGGCGAAGCCGAAGGGCCAGUAGCGGUUGCGGGGCUCCCACGGGACCCGGUGUGCACGUCUGUAUGCCUCUGACAAUGCCGCGCUCCAUGUGUCCAUCUUGCCCGCAAGCGUCCGCGCAACCGACCUGAUCCCCCACGAGCUCCAUACUCCUGAACCCACAUUGACGCACACAGGGGCAGCGGCCGCGGCGACUCUCUGUUGGACUAUGUGGAGCAGGACGCCCGCUCGCGCGGCAUUGAGCGCCUGGUGCUGCUGACCACGCGCACCGCCGACUGGUUCGAGCAGCGCGACUUCCGCUGGCAGGGCGCGGCCUACGCCUCGGAGCUGCUGCCGCUGGCUCGGCGCUCGCGCAUCAACCCCGCGCGCAAUAGCCAGCUGUAUGUGAAGAACUUGGAGGCGCCGGCCGACAACCUGCAGGCGCCGGGCAAGCGCAUCGGGUUCUGAGGCGCCUGCAGAACAGCGGCGGCGUGCUUUGGUACAGCGUGCGGAAAUUGGGACGCUCGAGGUGGAGGUGUUUGUGCGGUGGGACAGUCGCAGCAUCGCGUCCAGCCACUGAAUUGUUGUGAAACGCAUUCAUCGUGCUGAUAGCAUUGUACGUGGGACGUGGCUCGCGAUGAGAGUGAGUGUGAUCGGUGACCUUGUAUUGCUGGCUGCGUUGGAGUUGGCUCCCCGUGCCCGGCCCAACUGCGCAGGGCCCCACGUCGAGGUGCGGCGAAGGUGGUGUCGCAUGAUGGGGGCGAAGAUUGUGCUUGAUGUAGUUGAUGGAGAGGAGCAGUUCCCGAUUGCCAGUUAUACCGUCUGGUGCGAUAGGACAGGGCAAGGGGCAGGUUGGCGUAGUCCCAUGCUGAUAUAGCUGAGUCCCGAGAAACAAGUUACGCCCAAUCUAGGCGCCGGUGACACAUGGAAUACAUCCCCCCGCGCAAACGAUUAUCCGGCCCCCGUUACCAGUACCGCGGUAAUCCAGAGCUGUUGCGGAAGGAAAACCGUGAACCAGGGGUGCCCCUGCCGUGAACGGAGCGCCCGAGGUUGGGACGAGCUAAGCUGUUUACUGUUGACGAGCGGGAAUGUUAUUGCGCGCUUCUCGUGCUCUGAGUCGCCCGGCCAGGCCACACGCCACAGCUAACACACUGUGCCCUGCGGGAGUGCUAGAAGAUUCGGGACGCGCGCACCUGCAGGGCACGUCAGCGCCCACCGUGAGCCACUGCAAGGAAGAUCCUCAGUAUUCAGUGAUACGAACAGAGUGGCAAAUAAAGAAACAAGGCCGGGCGACAUGUGCGCGAAACGGGGGGAGCAGGGCCGGGCACUGCCAGGCGCUAGUGGCGCUACACUUUGCAAAAUGGCAGUCAGUCUGACGCCGAUCCGCGGCUUAGGUGAGCAGCGCUAGCGUUUGCGGUGAGCCUUGCUCGGGGUUCCUCCCCUCCUUUAGUGAGGCGAGGAGCGUGGGGGUCAUUCGAGGUUCCCUCCUCGAGUGUGCGUACGUGUCUCGUGCGUUUAUGGAGCCCUGGCUUGCCCGUGGCUGUCAUCCCACAUGUAACCUCUAUUCGCUAGUGGCGAUAAGCAGAGCAUUUGGGCGUUAAGGCGCCUAGGCCCAUUCGGAGGGGUCUGUUCGAGAACGCAAUGAUGGUGUGCAGUGACAACAGCACGCUGGAGGCGCGGAGGCGUAGCUAAAGCUGGUGCCGCGUGCCGCACGCCUGGCGCCCGGCUGGGUAGUUGCGGCAACGGUGUGAUGGCGGAGCCACAAGGAGCCGGGCUCGCAAGGAGCUCCCAGAUGGCGACGACAGCGGGCUGGCUGUUAGCUGGGACGUAAUGGCCAUCAGACCCUGUCCAGGACGAGUUAACAGACACCAGGCCAGCGUGACGACAAGUGUUCCGCGGUCACGGGAAAAGGGGCUGAGCCCCUCCACAGUCUGAGGCCGAACAACCUCAUCGCCCGGACAUAGCCGGGGUCGGUUUCCACAGGCACAUACCGUACUGACGCUUGAAAUUUUAUCUCUAAUAAUUUUAGCGGUGCGCGGAGGGGCUGGUUUAUGUUUUUAACUUUUAUCCCGGGGGCCAGUCAGGUCUUGAAGUUUUAUGGGACGGAUGGCGGUGUGGCGUGCCACGCGUGGACCAGCUCUAACACAGCGUCAAAAGCCUUUCCUGUGCUUCGAAUGCAGCUAAGCAGCAUUCGCUACAACUUCCGACCCCAAACAGACCAAAUUCCAGCAGGCUUUGUCCCCAGACAUGUCCAAUUACGUCUCUGAACAUGUCUAGAAAUUUUAUCCGACCCCCUGGAAUUUGGCCCAUUUGCUCAGUAUUAGUUUUAUUUUGACGUUUUCGAAUAUAAUAAAAAAGAUUUCAAGCGUCAGUACGGUAGCCAAACCAGGUGCCUAGCAAUCGCGAUGCCACAGCAGAGCCAACUGUAGCCAGACGCAGCACAGUUGUCAACAGCCGCACUGCUUGUCAUGCCGCUACGGAUGCCCUGCCAGCCCCACCGCGGACCGCUACCUAGACACCGCCAGCCGGCUCCUCAGCCUGCGCGCUUGCGCCGCUUCUUGGGCGGCGCUGCGCUCUCCUCCUCCACGUGGCCUUUCCCGCCCCCUCCGCUACCAAGAUGCGCGCACGCGCCCCCGCUGCUGCCGCUGCCGCCGCCGCCGCUGCCGCCGCCGCCGCUGCCGCCGCCGCCGCUGCCGCCGCCACUGCCGCCGCUGCCGCCGCCGCCGCUGCCGCCGCCGCCGCUGCCACCUCCGCCGCCGCCGCCGCCGCCAGUCUGCAGCGAUGCAGGUCGCUUGUGCCCCAGCAGCAUCUCCACCAGCGCGUGCCGGAUGUUGGUUGCGGAGUUGACGUCACGUCCCUGCACCGUCGGGAGGGUAGAGUGAGUGAGUCCCACUGAGCCCAUGACUGAGCCGUCACCCAGCCGUCUCUCAGCCAUCACCCACUGAGCCCCACUGAGCCCCACUGAGCCGUCACCCAGCCAGCAAUCACCCACUGAGCCCCACUGAGCCGCCACCCAGCGACCCAUCCAUCGCCCAGCCAGCCGCCCGCCCACAAAGUGGACUCACCCACACCGUCCCGCAGUGGUUGCACACUUGGACUUAGUGAGCACGUAAGCCCCCCCAUGGUACGACCGCCUGCAGGCAGCGCUGCCCGUUGCCGUGUAAGCGCCGCCCGCACUUCGCACACACCUGGGGAGGGAGGGGGCAGGAGUACAGUGUGAACCUUGCUGGCUACCCGGCUACCUGUACCGUACACGAGCCCCAUCCUGUCCACCCGACCACCUGUCUACUCAUUCCAACCCGUCUGCUCUCAUCUUGCCUGCGAUGUGUAGAACUCGUCCACGUACACCACCAGGUGCGCGUACUUGUCCACCAGCAGGCGGAGCAGUGCCCGGUUUGGGCCCCGCCCCAACCUGCUGAUGCAACCGCCAUAGCCAGUGUUGGCGUUGCCCCAGCCAACAAUGACCUCCUCCUUGGGCCUUCCACCAGCCAGCUGCUGCGCCGUGUGCUCCAGCACCUGUACCCGUGGCAUUGGUGUAGCGUCAGCGCAGUGCAGUUGGUGUGGGUGCAUCUGCUGGUCCCUCCCCUCAACCCCCACCUUCUGCGUCCGCACAUGGACAGUCAGGCGCCACCGCCGCUGGCCCCACUGCCGGUAGAAACGGAGCAGAUGCCACAGCCCGUACUGUUGCACCGGCGCAGGCGCAGACCCGGCCGCCGCCGCCGCGUCCACGCCACCUCCAGAGUAGAGGUAGCGUAUUCGCCGCUCAUGGUCAGCUGCCGACGCCACCCGCGCACUGGGUAUCCCCGCCUGACAGCGCUUGAGCGCCGGCUGCUCCUUUAGCCGUGCCUGCAGCCACAGCCGACGGCCUGUCUGGCCUGUGCAGUGGCGGUAGCCAGCGCCAGACAGCCGGAUAAAGCAGGCGCGCUGCUGGCGGCGCCGUUCUGUUGCGGCACGCUGAUGCGUGUGCUGGCGCGUGCCCCGCCACCCUCGCCUCUUGCCCUUCCACCUCCCGCCCCCCUUGCGCCGCCACCUCCGUUUCUGGCCCCGCCGACGCCGUCGCUGCUGUCGCCGCUGCCGCCGCUGCUGCCGCUGCCAUCGCCGCUGUUGCCGUCGCCGCCGUCGCUGCAGUGGGGGCUGGGCAGGCCCAGGAGCCUGGCCAUCUGGGCCACGCCAGACGUGCGCGGCUCGUGGCCGGCCACUGUAGCUGUGCGGUGAGAAGCCUGGCAUUGACGAAAACUGAGGACCAACCCUGAACUACGGUCGCCCACAACUCUGCAGUUAUUUAUACCGUAUUGGAUAGCUGAUUUGAACGCUCUCGUUGACUACUUCCCCCUUCAGGGAACAAUUCCAGGGAAGACACAACCGGAUUAGAGCAUCUUGGGAGUCAUCUAGCGAGGAUAGCACAGGUGGGCUGCAAGAACCCGGUCUGAAAGCCACACAGGUGGGCUGCAAGAAUCCGGUCUGAAAGCCACGAUGCCAUACGCUGUUACCACAGGCUCUGGCGAACGGGUUACAAGUUCAUCAAGCUUCAGUUUUAAUCCAGUUCUCACGCAUACGAUUCACUAUUGUCCACCUGCAGUGUUCCGGAUCUGGAACCACACAAACGAUUACUGCGACAUACCGCCUCAUGUAUUGUUCGCCGCACGCGCGGCGACAAGCUUUCACCUACGAACCUUUGCGCCCCUCGCGCGUCUGCGGGCUACCAUAUGGGCCAGCACCGGGCACAGCAACCAAACUUAUUUGUAGUAUCACAGCAAGGGCUGGCGGGCCAUGCCGUUGUCUAUGCAACAAACCGCUCUGGCAAACAAGGAGGUGGCUGCCUUAGGGAGGGAAAAGGGCUGAGCCCUCCCCUCCCGAGUCGUUAUCAACCCAGCCACCUUGACUGGCAAAAAAAUGUCGGUCCAUGCAUACUCCUAUGUAUUAAUGUAUGCGAUGGGGAAUGCAAGAAGCUGACAAUGCAUCACGUGAACCCUCAACCUCCCCAACGUGGGUGCAGGGCUCACAAGACGCCGUGUCCAAACCGAGGGUCAAGAGCUCCGCGGGCGAGAGCCUCAAAUGCUCACAAGAUAUCACGUCACCGCUCUUCCCUACCGCCCGCAUCACACCACGUCCAAGCAACUAACACGCUCGUCCCGGUUCAUUUGAUGUACGCGGUCCGUGCCUGUAAUGCGCAACCACUAUGGUAGCUUUACCGCCCGCCAGCAGGUGCCGCCGUGGGCCAGGGCUGCACCUGGAUGGUCGUGGCAGCGUACGGCUGGCCAGCGGGCACGUAGGCGCGGCUGCUGCUGUUGAAGCCAGUGGUGAGGGCAGAGUUGUUCUGGUAGGUCGUGAUGGCAGCGUUCAUCUGGGCAAUCAGCAUCGGAGGGUCAACGUAGCCGAUGUUCUUGGUGUUGAGCAUGGCGGUCAGGGCCUUGGUCUGGGAAGCGAUGGUGGCGUUCAGGUACUUGUCGAAGUAAGCCGGGCCAAAGGUCUUGUUCACGGCGAUGUUCUCCUUGGUCAGCUGGGCGUACAGGGUCACCGUCACGUUCUGCAUCGGAAACAACAGGGACAAGUGGGGUUCAGACGGCGGGCACGGAAACAGGCAACGCACUUUUGUCUCGCGAAUUAAUAGCGCUUGGGUCGAGACCCCGGACCGGGGCCUCCGGCUUUCACACGCGUAGGAAGUCGCGCAACGACCGGGACAUUCAGUGUCGGCUGAAACAGUAUGGACACGGGAGCCCGCAACAUGACUUAACCGGGACUCCCAACAGCCGCUUCCCGUUUAAACCUACCGUCAUGCCCUUCUUGUACUUGGCGAUGUCCUUGGACAUGGUCAGAGACGGCGAGUAGGCGCCGUACGCGAAGAUGGCAGCGCAGAGGAAGCCCGACACAAUCAGGGUAAAGAUCCAGGCAACGACCUGCUUGGCGAACAGCUUCCAGUUCACGCCGCUGCGCAGGUCCUCGACCAGGCCCACGCCCAUCUCAGCGCCGGUGAUGCACUGGGUGGUGGAGAUGGGCAGGCCGUACACGGAGGCCAGCGACACGGUGAACGAAGUGCCCAGCUCAGCCGAGAAACCGCGGGACGGCGUCAUCUGCGAACCGGGCAUGAAACGGCAUGCGUUACAAGGGCAAGCUAGGGAAAUGCAGGCACAUUUGAAGAGGGAGGCUCGCACAAGGCGACAGCAUGCGUGCCCCGCCCAUCCGGACGUGUCAAUGUGCUGGGCAUUCAUAGCGUUCCAGGUCCCAAAAGCGUGCCCAUUCCACCCCCCACGCACCUUGGCCAGGCCCACGCCCAGAGUCAUCAUGAUGUUGUAGCCGUAGGUAGCCAGGCCCACCACAAUGCCGGCGCCGCCCAUGGCCAUCACCCAGAUGGGGGUGUCGCCGUUGGACGUGAUGGUCCAGAAACGGUACACGUACCAGAUGCCGGAGAAGGGGCCGACAGCGUUGGCGACAUCGUUGGCUCCGUGCGCGAAAGACACGGCGCAGGCAGAGAAGACCUGCAGGUACUUGUACACCUGCUCGGUCUCGGGGGAGAACACCUCGGCGGCAGCGUGCAUGUCGUGGAUGGUCUGGUCGUGCUCCACGUGCUGCGCGCGGCAAGGGCACCAGGGAGGUCUCGCGUGAAUACACUGGCAAGUUUGUGCUCGGGGUUUCGGGGUCUACACCAACCCACCCAGCUCCAUACCGUUCACUGCCGAAAUGUCCAGGACCCACCUCGUGAAUGUCGACGUUCAGGCCGCGGGUGGCAGCCUUCUUCAUCGAGUUGAAGAUCUUCAUGGCCUUGGAGGUGGGCUCAGCCUCCACCUCCUCCUCCUUGGGCUUGCCGGCGUUGGCCUCGGCGUCAGCAGCCUUCUGGGCAGCCCUGCAGAGUCGAGCAUUCCCAAAGUGUUAGCAGUUGCUUUGCCGCAAGCAUGUCCUGCGACUAUGAAUACCGGUAUGCAUAUGCAUGGCGCUCCUGACGGCACACGGACACAAGACGCACGGCAACGCAGCACCUAGCGUCAAACGCACCGGUCCAUGUCCUUGGUGACGGCACGGCGCAGCAGCCACAUGCCGGGGAAGAUGGCGAGAAGCAUGCAGCCUGCGGGUCAAUCCGUGGGGUUACAUUCAUGACUAAUCAGGGAAGUCGUACACGGGCCACCUGUGGCCUCGGGUGGGUCAAUCCCAAGCAAUGGUUGUCCAAAUAUCCCGGUCGUUAGUGUCAUAAUGCAACCCAGUCAGAACCGCAGACGACUCUUAACGCUUACCAGCAGUAAUGCACGCAGCCACCCAGGCGGCCUUGUUCGAGUCCCAGUGAGCCACGUUCUUGGCUCCCUUGUAGAUCACGAAGAAAACUGUUGGAACAAGUCCAUGCACGCAAACCGAGCGUUAGCGGAGCGGACACCUGGCAUGUAUCCGGUUUUGGCAUCAGGCGCCUCCGGCCAGAACAAUUGCUCGUCAGACCCACGCCACUGCAACACACAAUCGCACGCCCGGCGAUGACUUCGGCAACCUGCAUCCCUCCAAGCCCUAUGCAAAUGUACGUGCAAUUCCAGCACCAACGGCACCUUAUGAGCCCGUAACUGAUCUCCAGCCACCCACCGUUGAUGAACACGGUGACACCAACCAGCAGGGGGUACAUGUAGAUUGCCAGGUUGGUCGAGUUCUCGCGGCGGAGGAUGCACACGCGGUUGAGCCAGAAGAUGAUGGCAGACGCAAUGCCUGCAGCAAGGGAAGAGGGUUGGGUGCACGAGUGUGUGAGAAGCAGUGCACGCAAUCGUAAUGGAAUAAGCAACCGAUCCAUGCAUGACAGACGAAGCCGACGUGCAGCUGCGGCAGGAAGAUGAGUACAGGUUCCAGGAACGCAGGUCUUGCCCCGACCCAUGGCGAGCCUCACUAAUUUGUGAGUUCCACGACACCCCACACUCAGGCUGAACGAACACGUACACGCCUGUCUUGGCAUAAGACAGUGCACUCACCCGACAUGAGGGGCGACACGAACCAGGAGCAGAUGACGGGCACCAGACCCUUCGAGUAGGGGAAGGCGUCCAUGUGGUCGUUCCACACCACGGCGCCAGAGCCACCCCACACCAGGGCAAAGCCCAUCACCGCGCCGAUGACGGAGUGAGUGGUGGACACGGCCAGGCUAAAGUAGGUAGCGGUGAACACCCAGGUAGAGGCGGAAAUGAGCGCGCACAUCAUGCCGUACGCGAACAUCUCUGGGAGGUCCUGGAACGCGGUGGGGCGAGCGAUGGAGCCAGCGAUGGUCUUGGUCACCUCGCCACCCAGGCCGAUGGCUCCGGCGAACUCGAAGACGGAAGCGAUGAGGCAAGCCUGCUUCAGGGUAAUGGUCUUGGCGCCGACGGAGGUGCCGAAGGCGUUGGCCACUGUUGGGGGUAGGGGGUUGCAGGUCGGGUUAGUGCCAGGAUAUACACUUGCAUUGGGCUAGUCCGUAAGCGGAGCUGGUUUCCGUGUCAGUGGCACCCUGUUCCACCGGAAUCAGGUCAAGGGACCUGAAGCUGAUGCUCACCAUCAUUGGCACCGAUGCCGGCGGCCAUGAUAAAUGAGACAAUGAAGCCCACAAUCACCAGCCACAUGUAAUCUGCAUCCAGAUGCAGCAGAAGAAAAGAGCAGUGUUGGUAGGCGCAGGAGUUGCGUUGGGGCGGCCCAUGGAGCUAUGGCUACAACAUUAUGCUGGCAAGACCUAGCAUUACGAUGCGCCUACCUGUCCAGUACUCCGGCGGCAUCUGCGGGCGGGUAGGAACAUGAGCGCGGGCAGAGGGGCAAAAGUGAACAGCGAGGGCGAGGGAAAGCAACAGGAGGGAAGGAGGUGCGGCGCUGCGAAGGAGGUGCGGCGCUGCGGAAGAAAGCCAAUGCUAGGCAAAACGCUGACUACAAUAUCGAGUCCACCAUCAAGCGGCUGCCCCAUAAGCAAGUUCGUCGGAGAACGUGAUGCUGAUGCGGCGCAAGCAAUCGGUCACGCUCGGCGGCUGAAGUCAUCGCAAGCCGAACAGACAAUAACGGCCUGAUGCCCGCUGCAACUCUAGUGUUACGCCACACCACCGCAGCGCUGAAACGGGAGUGAACAACCCCACGGGUGUCAGUCCACUUUACGUCUGUCCUGGCCACCCACCUUCGCUGGACUGUCGGUCGCUUAAACAGCCCGUCAAGGCAGGAAGGUACUCUAGAAAGAGAGAACAGGCAGGCUCAGAGCAGGAGUGUGUGGUCGUCGAAGGUCCACCUUUACGGCUUGGCGAAGCAGGUUGUGGCAAAGUCUCUUAAUUAUGUCAAAGGUUGCUCACACACGCUUUAUGCGGCAGCUGAAAUCCGGCGAGAGGCGGUUUCGCCGGAAUUUCGUCAUCAUGAUGAUUCCAAAGGAAUCAAGUUGCUUUUUUGCGGAACAAGCUUUUCACAAGCUUUUCACAGGCGCAGCAUUGACUUUGUUAGUCCUGUCAAAAAUUUUGCAUUCCGAGGUGAAGCACCUCGGAAAUUCUCUGUCUGACAGAGAAGUCUACGAAAUUCUCUGGAGUAACGCAAAUUAAUGCACGUUUUAGAAAACAUACGAUAUCACACAUGCAUCAAACUGGGACGCGACGAUGUCCCGAAACGCUGGAUUUCAACCUUCCCACUCAGAGCAGAAAACGCAGUCAUGGCCUCUGCGUCAUCGCCGGGAAACGAUACUAAAUGCAAUUCAUCAUGAAGAACUCAAACAACUCAAUAUCAGAACAAACCCCCCUCGCAUCAAACUGAAGACAGAGUGCCGCCAUCCGCCACGGCACGCCAUACAAGUCACCGUCAAUGCAGUGGGUCGGCGCCGCAGGGCUUAUCCGUGCGGCGUAGAACUGUUUGGCGGGCAGGUUGGCACGGGGUGGAGCGGUUGAACCGGUGGUGACAUUGAGCCGCGGUGACGAUGCUCGAGGUAGUCGAAGUAGCCUGCGCGUCUCCAUACAGCUGCAGCUCCACAUGGGCGCAAAUGUGGCAUAGCAAGGGGCAGGCACGGCAGGCGGCACGUCAAUGGCACAGACCCGCAGGGAUGCGGUGGGACAGGGUGUGCGAUGGGACAGGGGAAGGGCACGGGGUAAGGGGCAGGUUGGCAGCCCCGUAGAGUUCAGCGUAUUCCCAAAUGGUCGCGGAAUGGGACAUCAGGCGAGACAUAUCAAGAUGGCCGCAUCAGCUAAGAUUCACAACUCACCUGUCCCGGGAAGGUAGCAUUCAUCACGGGCAUCCAGCGAGCGGUGUCGGUCUUCAGGUUAUGGAUGGACUGCAAGGCAGGCCUGCCGUGCAGGGGAGUCAGGUGACAAGGGGAACGUUGGGCGCGUCAGUUGGACGAAACACAUGUGCUGCGCCCAAGCGGCCCCGCUUCCAUACGGCAUGCAAUACGUAAUGCGCGAAUUGCCUUUUAAGGAGCCAAUGCGUGUCAUACGGUAAGCUAAGAACCCAACCACAGCAGGCCAAGACUUACGAUAUCAUAGUGGAUGUCCUUGCUAUUGGCCAGCUCCAGCACGUCGGGCGCCGGUCAACAGGGGCGCCUGCGGUUCAUUAAGUGACAAUGUAGGGGCAACCGUAUGAAGACGGCCAAGGGUCGAAGGGGACUGAAGUGUGCUUCGGCGAUGGUGGACACGCAAGGCCAUGGGCAAACCGUGUCCAGGAAGCCACUCACCGUAGGCGUGCACACAUAACACAAAAUAGCAAAACUGCAGUAUACGGGCAAACCGUGUCCAGGAAGCCACUCACCGUAGGCAUGCACACAUAACACAAUCAAGCGAAACUGCAGUACGGUAUACAUGCUUAGGAACCAUGCAAGUGAACCAGAAGACAGAAGUCCAAACAAUGUUUACAGUAUUAAUCAUGCAUCGGUGUUUCCCGCACAACAAGAAAGCACUCGUCAGGUGGGAUCGUAAAAGUGUGCAAGCAGUAUGCAACAAGUUCCCUACACCGACUACAGGCUGCCACUGUGCCAAACAACAGUGCAAGCCUCACAGUGCAAGCCUCACAGAGCCUGCCUCACAGAGCCUGCACAGCAACCACUCUGUCAGCAAAGAGCCGUAUCUCAGUAUCUAGUGGCAGCUUAGCAGCCUUAAGCCAGCACCACACCAUCCUGCAGACCGCGUCCUCUACGUGCCCGCACGCGCAGUAGUCCUGGUUUUCAUGGUCAGUCACGUUCUCAAUGAUUUAUUCUAGGAAUGCAACAGCCUACCGCCCGCCAGCGGGUGCCGCUGUGGGCCAGGGCUGCACCUGGAUGGUCGUGGCAGCGUACGGCUGGCCAGCGGGCACGUAGGCGCGGCUGCUGCUGUUGAAGCCAGUGGUGAGGGCAGAGUUGUUCUGGUAGGUCGUGAUGGCAGCGUUCAUCUGGGCAAUCAGCAUCGGAGGGUCAACGUAGCCGAUGUUCUUGGUGUUGAGCAUGGCGGUCAGGGCCUUGGUCUGGGAAGCGAUGGUGGCGUUCAGGUACUUGUCGAAGUAAGCCGGGCCAAAGGUCUUGUUCACGGCGAUGUUCUCCUUGGUCAGCUGGGCGUACAGGGUCACCGUCACGUUCUGCAUCGGAAACAACAGGGACGAGUGGGGUUCAGACGGCGGGCACGGAAACAGGCAGCGCACUUUUGUCUCGCGAAUUAAUAGCGCUUGGGUCGAGACCCCGGACCAGGGCCUCCGGCUUUCACACGCGUAGGAAGUCGCGCAACGACCGGGACAUUCAGUGUCGGCUGAAACAGUAUGGACACGGGAGCCUGCAACAUGACUUAACCGGGACUCCCAACAGCCGCUUCCCGUUUAAACCCACCGUCAUGCCCUUCUUGUACUUGGCGAUGUCCUUGGACAUGGUCAGAGACGGCGAGUAGGCGCCGUACGCGAAGAUGGCAGCGCAGAGGAAGCCCGACACAAUCAGGGUGAACACCCAGGCAACGACCUGCUUGGCGAACAGCUUCCAGUUCACGCCGCUGCGCAGGUCCUCGACCAGGCCCACGCCCAUCUCGCCACCGGUAAUAAUUUGGGUGGUGGACACAGGCAGGCCGUACACGGAGGCAAUGGAGACGGUGAACGAGGUAGCCAGCUCAGCGCAGAAGCCGCGGGACGGCGUCAUCUGCGGAACAGGCAUUGUAGGGGGAACAAGUGCCAAGGGUGAGCUGGAGAGCGCCGGAAACUUAUGCUCGCAAGCAUGACCGCUCCUACUAUCAAACCCUGCCACUGCGCCAUACAUGAGCAGUGUCCACGCGCCCACAGCCUGCUGCCUUUGCAUCAGCGCACCUUGGCCAGGCCCACGCCCAGAGUCAUCAUGAUGUUGUAGCCGUAGGUAGCCAGGCCCACCACAAUGCCGGCGCCGCCCAUGGCCAUCACCCAGACGGGGGUGUCGCCGCUGGACGAGAUGGUCCAGAAGCGGUACACAUACCAGAUGCCGGAGAAAGGGCCGACAGCGUUGGCGACAUCGUUGGCUCCGUGCGCGAAAGACACGGCGCAGGCAGAGAAGACCUGCAGGUACUUGUACACCUGCUCGGUCUCGGGGGAGAACACCUCGGCGGCAGCGUGCAUGUCGUGGAUGGUCUGGUCGUGCUCCACGUGCUGCGCGCGGCAAGGGCACCAGGGAGGUCUCGCGUGAAUACACUCGCAAGUUUGUGCUCGGGGUCUCGGGGUCUACACCAACCCACUCAGCUCCAUACCGUUCACUGCCGAAAUGUCCAGGACCCACCUCGUGAAUGUCGACGUUCAGGCCGCGGGUGGCAGCCUUCUUCAUCGAGUUGAAGAUCUUCAUGGCCUUAGAGGUGGGCUCAGCCUCCACCUCCUCCUCCUUGGGCUUGCCGGCGUUGGCCUCGGCGUCAGCAGCCUUCUGGGCAGCCCUGCAGAGUCGAGCAUUCCCAAAGUGUUAGCAGUUGCUUUGCCGCAAGCAUGUCCUGCGACUAUGAAUACCGGUAUGCAUAUGCAUGCGCGCGCAUCGUCUCAGACCCUACAACAAAUUGAACACAAGCAAUCUGCACAAUCAAGCAGACAAACUGAAGAAGCACAGUGCCUCCCGUAAUGUACUCACCGGUCCAUGUCCUUGGUAACGGCACGGCGCAGCAGCCACAUGCCGGGGAAGAUGGCGAGAACCAUGCAGCCUGCGGAUCAGUUCACACCGACACAACUUUCAAUGGCUAUUCUCGGUUGCGUGAAGCCUGUGCAUUGCAGUUCCUGACACUGGCACGUGAAGUGCCCAGCUUGCCACCGGGUGGCACACAGCACCACAGCAGGUAUUCGCACCAGUGCUUUGCUCACCGGCCAUGAUGCACGCAGCCACCCAGGCGGCCUUGUUCGAGUCCCAGUGAGCCACGUUCUUAGCUCCCUUGUAGAUUACAAAGAAAACUGUGGGCAGGCAACAGAGGCAAGAUGAAACGUGACGAACACGAGCAGUUCCUCAAUAGACACUAUCGCCUCUGUCACUUGUGGCAGUCAACAGACAGUCAACUAGAGGGCGUGCUCUCGACUAUCAUACUGGUUGAUACAUUGCAAUGCGCGCACAGUACUGCUGAGUCCCGGCAAGACCACCAUGCCGGCUAGAUUCCUUGGGUGUUGCAUUGUCUACCUCCUUCCAGCCACCCACCAUUGAUGAAGACGGUGACACCCACAAGAAGGGGGUAAAAGUAAAUUGCCAACUGGGUUGAGUUCUCGCGGCGAAGGAUGCACACGCGGUUCAGGCUGAAGAGAAUAGCAGCAGUAAUUCCUGCCGCAAGGAGGAAGGAAUAGUUGGUUAGAUAUGUGAGAAUCUGGGGGGACACACUAAAAAGCAACAUUUAGGCCUGCUGCAGGAUAGUGAAACGAGGAAACCAUUACUCAGGUCGGAAUUGCUUCGCACUUACCCGACAUGAUGGGCGACACGAACCAGGAGCAGAUCACGGGCACCAGACCCUUCGAGUAGGGGAAGGCGUCCAUGUGGUCGUUCCACACCACGGCGCCAGAGCCACCCCACACCAGGGCAAAGCCCAUCACCGCGCCGAUGACGGAGUGGGUGGUGGAUACGGCAAGGCAGAAGUAUGUGGCAACGAACACCCAGGUAGAUGCGGCAAUAAGCGCGCACAUCAUGCCGUACGCGAACAUCUCUGGGAGGUCCUGGAACGCGGCGGGGCGAGCGAUGGAGCCAGCGAUGGUCUUGGUCACCUCGCCACCCAGGCCAAUGGCACCGGCGAACUCAAAGACGGAAGCGAUGAGGCAAGCCUGCUUCAGGGUAAUGGUCUUGGCGCCGACGGAGGUGCCGAAGGCGUUGGCCACUGUUGGGGGUAGGGGGUUGCAGGUCGGGUUAGUGGCAAGGCACUAGGGCAAGGGUUACUGGUGCAAUAUCUACAUGGAGGUAAGGUCCACAUUGUUGCGGACCCAACACUCACCAUCGUUAGCACCAAUACCGGCGGCCAUAAUAAAUGAGACAAUAAAGCCCACAAUCACCAGCCACAUAUAAUCUGUUAGGCAGGUGGCGUUGACAAUUGGAGGGAGGAGCAAGGGGCAGAUGAUGGGGUACCGUAAGUUUGGUUCUGAAGGUGGAACGGGGCAGCAGCACGGCGCUUGCAGUGAUGGCAGGCCCAGCACUGCUUUCGCAACGUCAUGUAAUUCCAUUUUACUAGUCCCAAACAUUGCGCUUACCUGUCCAGUACUCCGGCGGCAUCUGUGGGGCCGACCAAAGAAAAAGAAGGGAAGUGGCAGGAGGGGGCGUGAGCCGAGCGUCACAGCAGUCGGCUGACUGGCCCCAGGGAGCUGGGCUAUAUAAGGUGAGAGUGACCAGGGCUUCCUUUGUUUCAAUCAACCUAUUGAGUAUGUCUUUGUGGGUUCCGUUCCUGAGCGGACAAGUGCGCAGCAAGCACGGAGUGUAGAGCAUGGACAUCCCUGUAUUUGCAUGGCGGGCACACGGACGACUAGUCCGCGCCAGGCGACGAGCGGACAUACCUUUGCGAGAGUUGUCGAUCCAAAACCCCGUCAGGGCGGCAGGUGCUGGCUGGCCGGGCGGAAGGGCGCUCAACCUCAAGAGGGAUUUAUCAAGCGGUGCACGGCGUCGUGCGCUCGGUACUUCUGGAGGCGGGUCUAGGUUUGCGUCUGUCACAAUUAGUUGUAUGGGGUAUGUGAAUUGAUAUAUAAUGGUGGAAGCCCGACAAAUGCUGGCCCAAUGAGAAAGAGGGGAAUUCCUGUCUCACCGACGAUAUUCGGCAUCACCAACGUUACCCGGCCGCGCCCUCCAUUCACUCGUUGCAGUGCAUUACAAGGAUUUCGCUAUAUCAGAGUGUGUGAUUGAAGUGCAGAAGAUGCGAGUCAGAGGAACGGUCGGGCAGGUCCGGGGUGGGGUGUUCGUAAGUCGGGUACCGGCGGAAGGCGGGUACACGAAUGCCCAUGCUGUCAACCGCACCGCCAGGCCCGCAUGUGGUGUCGCGAGCUAGCUGGCUAUGCAUAAGUAUAGAGUAUAAUUAAGUUUGUAUUCCUCCAGCCGCUGUUUGCAAUACACACUCCCCCACCAGAAGCAGGGUGGGAUGAACCCGAUUGCCUCGCUCGCCCUCCCUGUUCAGUCAUUCAGCCGCUAUACAAUUCCCGGUCUUCAGAGUGCGGCUUCGUGCAGCGGUUGGUCACGACUAUCCAACCUGCUCCCGUCACGUGCCUCCCCGUGCUCGUAUGCGUGUCGCCCUGUCAGCUCCCUGCUUUGCUCCCUCCUAGGCCUUCCCUGCCCUGCCUGUGCCUCACCGUGAACCUGGACAGCAGGCCCGCCAGCGCGUCCCGGCUGAGCUUAACCAGGAUGCCGGCUUUCUCCAGCGGCUCCAGCAGCGCAGCCUAGCAUGCAUAUAAUGUUAGCAAACGCUAGCAAACAGUGUACAGUAUACGAUUGUGUACCUUAACGAGUCCCACCUGGCUAGGUGCAUUCACUCGAGAGCCUUGAUCCUUGACAACGCCUGCCGCCGAAAGCAUUGUGCAGCCACAUGCGCAUCCAGGCCCACCAGGUGUACAGCUACACUGACAGCCUGUGCUCACGGGUGGAAGCAUGGAGGGGAAGAGCGCAUGUCAGGUGUGCGGGACAGGUUCGUCCAGGACAGGCGACAGCAAGCCAGCAAAAUGCAACACAGUAUGGGCGGGGCACAGCACCACCACAGCGCACAUGUCCAGGAGGCACAUGACUUGCCUGUGGUUCCUUGAUCGCAUCGUUGCAUCCAGGCACAUGCGACCGCGCACACACAUGUUAGGCAUUGAACACAUAGUCUCUCCCUGUGCAGUGACUGCACACACAAGCCUGACGGACAGCGGCGGUUCAGAGAGCAACCGUCCUUCACACUUGCAUUGCUAAAAUGCUGUGCGCUAGUGUCUUCACCUCUUCGCCCCGAUAUCUCACGGACGGGACUGAUUGCCACAGUGAUUACAAACAAGUGUCAGGAACAGUCGUGCACAAUACCCCACGCAUCAUCAAAGAUAUCCCAGCCCGCUAUCCAGCCCCGCCUAUCGUAUUUCUAGCCUAUGUAUUGCCUGCACGCGUUAGGCUCGUUGGGCCCGCUCGCAUUCGUAAUCACCGGUAGCGAUGAUCGUACUCGAAUUCAAUGUCAUUCAGUGAGUCAUGAUAGGCGAUUGAGUUCCAUCCUGCUCACAAGGUUGCAAGUCGUGAUGGCACCAGUCCACAUGUCCGACAACGGUAAUACUGACAUUCAAUCAAAAUCUAUGCCACUGUAAAAGUGAUGUGCAAACCGCUGAGCCACAUGACACUACGCCGUGCCCCACUUCAGCAGUUGUGCGCGACGCAGGCCUGGCCUUACCGCCCGCCGGCGGGAGCGGCCACGGCGUAGGGCUUGACCUCGAUAGUGCUGGCGGCGUAGGGCUGGUUGGCGGGCACGUAGGCGCGGGUGGAGCGGUUGAAGCCGGUGGUGACUACAGAGUAGUUCACGUAGGUAAGGUACGCGUUGUUCAUCUCGGUCGCCAGCUGGGUGGGGUCGAUGUAACCAAUGGUCUUACUGUUGAACAUGUUGGUGAGGGUCCGCGUGUUGGUGGUGAUGGUGCGGUUCAGCGUGGGGUCGAACUGCAGCAAGGAAAGGGGGGCAAGGUCACGGGUGGUGGAGGAUACCGUACAUGUCGAACGCGGCAAGCAAGUCGCGCGCUCAGCGUGGGCAAGUGUGUGUGUGUGUGCGGGUGUUUGGUUAUGCGUGUUUUGGAGAGCAUAAUUAGAAGAGAGCGAAACUGUAUGUGAAUGGGAAGGUGUGUGUGUGUGUGUGUGUGUGUGCGCGCGCGCGCAAGGGGGAACGCUUAGCCCGCUGCCGAGGUGAUACAGGCGACAUGAGAAGAAACGCAUGACAACUGGGCUGGUUGCCUAGGUAGCGAUGAUGCUCGUAACAGGGGCCAUUGGUUGUAUCCGCGCCGGGGCAUGCAUGUAAAUGCUGCAGCUGGGCCUCGCCGGUGAACCCACCUGACCAGGGAAGCUGGUGUUCACCGCCACGUUGGAGGCGUUGAGCGAGCGGUAGAUGACGGUGGUCAGGUUGCGGAUGGACUGCAAGGCAAGGGCAAGGAGCACGCGUAGGGUAAGGCGCAGAACUGUUGGGGACUGGGGAGGCAACGUGCCGCGAACGGCAGGACUCGAUACGUGAAAGGCCAAGAGCCCAGCCGGCGUGCUCACACAGCACAAAGCCAAACAGAGGGCCAGGGCUCACCGUCUCAUACUUCAAGAUGUCCUUGCCCAUGGUCAGCGACGGAGCGUAGGCGCCGAAAGCGAAGAUGGCGGCAGACAGGAAGCCGGCAAUGAUCAGGGUGAACACCCAGGCGGCGAAUUGCUGAGGGGAGACGAAGGAUGGGAAAGGGAUGUCAACAAGGCAUGUAAGCAAGCAUGGGCCGUGGGCGGUGUGUCCUGAGUCACAAAUGGCAUUGGCUGCAUCCAUCACAUGACAGGUUACUCCCAUGGCCACGAGCACCCCGCCCCGCACCUUGGCCAGCAGCCUGUAGUUCACGCCGGUGCGGACGCUCUCGACCAGGCCCACACCCAUUUCGGCACCGGUGAUAAUCUGAGUGGUGGACACAGGCAGGCCGUACACGGAGGCGACGGAGAUGGUGAUGCCGGCGGCCAGCUCAGCGCAGUAGCCACGGGCGGGAGUCAUCUGCGUGGCCAGACACGUUUGGGACCACUGUCAGUCUCGCUGCGCAAAGCAAGUGUGGAGCACUGCGCCAUCCCGUACGUUCCAAGUGAUGUUCCCUCUCCAGUGCCAUUUUAACGGCACGAAGUAAAACCCCUUGGGCUGUGCGCACCUUGGCCAGGCCCACGCCCAGGGUCACAAUGAUGUUGUAGCCGUAGGUAGCCAGGCCCACCACAAUGCCGGCGCCGCCCAUAGCAAGCACCCAGAUGGGGGUCUCGCCGUUGGAGGCGACGUUCCAGAAGCGGUACACGUGGUAGAUACCGGCGAAGGGGCCCACAGCGUUGGCGACAUCGUUGGCUCCGUGCGCGAAAGACACGGCGCAGGCGGAGAAGACCUGCAGGUACUUGUACACCUGCUCGGUCUCGGGGGAGAACACCUCGGCGGCGGCGUGCAGGUCGUGGACGGCACGGUCGGUCUCGACGUUCUGCAUUAUUUCAGCCAGGCGAGGGCAUAAGGAGCACAGGCACAGGUCAAGAAUGCACAUGCAGGGGCUGUGUAAUGUGGGCAUGCACGCAUGUCUGACCCAGCAAACUUGAAACAGAACGCAUGUAUGGCGUGACAGACCGAAAGCCUGUGACCAAAGCACCAAGGCCUUCCUAUCCAACGCAAAAAACACUAACCCACCGCAUGGAUGUCCACGUCCAGGCCACGGGUGGCGGCCUUCUUGAUCGAGUUGAAGAUCUUCAUGGCCUUGGAGGUGGGCUCAGCAUCCUCCACACCCUCCUUCUCCUUGCCAGCGUUGGCCUCGGCGUCAGCGGCCUUCUGGGCAGCCCUGCAGGCGCGCCGAUAAGAGCGAAUGUGUCAGCGACAAACAAACAGGAGCAUAAGCAACUCAAGCCGAAACAUGUUCAUACAACCGAGUAUGGGAUGAACAAACAGAUGUGCAGGUGCAGGCGCACGCCAAGGCCUGUCCACCAACCCAACUCACUCGUCCAUGUCCUUGGUGACCUGGCGGCGCAGAAUCCAAGUGCCGGGGAAGCAAGCCAGCACAAACAGGCCUGCGGGCAAAGCACGAGACACAUGUAGGCAUCAAUGACGUGAGAACGCAGGGGCAAGACACGUGAUUGAUGCACCUGAUGCCAUUGCAAACAAGAUGUAUGGAAACUGCGUGUGCUGCGACGCAGCGACGGCGGACCUACUCUGGCAUGGCAUGUGUGUGCAGCCCCUUGCUUAAAACCCGGCCGCGCACUGAGUGCCGCCACAAUCGUAGUAGCUUACCAGCAGCCACCACGGCCGACACCCAGGCGGCCUUGUGGCUGGUCCAGCCCGCAACCUUGCUGGCGCCCUUGUAGAUAACGAAGAAGAGGUUGAUGAACACAGUCAGGAACACCAGCAACGGGAACACCCAGAUGGCCAGGGUGGUGGAGUUCUGGCGGCGCAGCACGAUGAGGCGGUUGAAAAAGUAGAGGACACCGGCAGCAAUGCCUGAAUGGAUGGGCGGGAAGCAGGACAAGCAAGGCAUGAUGGGGUCAGAGGACAGCAAAACAACCAUCACCAUCUAUCAAAAUGCUCAGCACCGCGGUACGUAAUGCACUUAAACAAUUACCCAGCCACGCGUCUACGCACCAGCAGUGAUGGGCGACACGAACCAGGAGCAGAUGACGGGCACCAGACCGGUAGAGUAGGGGAACUCCUUCUUGCGGUCGUUCCACACCACGGCGCCGGAACCGCCCCACACCAGAGCAAAGCCCAGCACGGCGCCGAUGAUGGAGUGGGUGGUGGACACGGCCAGGGACAGGUACGUGGCAAUGUAAAGCCAGGUAGAGGCGGAGAUCAGGGCGCACAGCAUGCCGUACGCAAACAUCUCGGGCAUGUCUUGGAACGCGGCGGGGCGGGCGAUGGAGCCGGCGAUGGUGCGUGCCACCUCGCCGCCCAGGCCCAGGGCACCAGCG
rnacentral:lncRNA from 1 species